rnacentral:lncRNA from 1 species
AAGAGAGAGAGAAUCAUGGUUGCUCUUUUCCAAGUUAUUGGAUGCCGUGAUGUGCCUUUAGCGAUUGGUUCUUCAACAUACAUUAACACAUGUUCUUCUUCUUCUUCUUCCUUCUCGCAUACCUUCUUUCUCUCAUUUUCUCCACGUGUCUAGCUGUAGUCUUGUAAAGAAGAGAAAGAAUAUCAGAAUUUUUACCUACCGAGUGCAUAGAUAAUUUUGGCUGCUAAUGAAUUUUGGCCAUUCCUUGUAAAUGCAGAUAUGGAUGAUUGUUUUUUAAAUUGAACCUGAUUUAUUUCAUUUGUGUAAUUCUACCGUGUUGAAUUUCUCCUAGGUUCUAACUGGAUCCAUAUUAGAGCUGUCGCGGCUUGUAAAUACUUUACCUAAGAUUUGUAUUCCGAGAAAGGGAAAGAGAUUUUCUGUCGCACCUCCUGUAAUUUCUUCAUUUCAGCAUCUAGCAUGUACACAUCACUGCAGCUAAGCAAACUUAUGCUUGGUAUGAUAGGUUUAGAAAACAGGUCUGAAUGAUGAUCAUCAUGGCUUGCAAAGUGGCAUAAAGAACUAAUCCAUUAGCUAGCUAUAAUAUACCUCCGGCCUGCGUGAAACGUUGGACGAUAAGUGAUCCAGGUUUUGCCAUAAAAUCUCCCUAUUGAGAACCAAUUACAAACAGUCGGUCAUUGGCCACGACACGAGCCCUGGUAAAAUGUUUAGUUGGAUGGUCAGAUCAUGUUAAAAAGAGAGGUGGGGUGGGGAAGGGACUAAAUAGAAUCCUGAAGGAAUAGCUCUGAAAGAGCAGCUGCGAGACCUAUGCGGUCCUCCAUGAUGAAUUGGGAUCUCAGUGGGCCGCUCUUUCUCCAAUGCUUUGCAAUCUUUACUGCUAUACUUCAGUGCUCCAAUCCUGGUGUGUGGCGGUUUUCUUUGCUGCCUCCCAUCACAUGGAGUCUGCCUUCCCAUAACUGAGUUGCUGGAGCAUAGCUGAAAGCUUCAAUGUUGCAAGUUAGUUCAUUUGACAGUUUAUCAAAGUCGACAAGCAAGGUAGAAAAAAGAAGUGUUGCUGAUUCUCGUCUAUUUAUUAGAAAGCAAAAAGAGAAAGAUUGAAGGACGAAAGAAAGAAACUUGAAAGGCCAAUGGUUUUUAGUGGCUUUUGCAUUUUUGUCGUGUCGUUUUAAGUUCAAAGGUUGGUCGGUACUAGGUGGUUGCAAUGGGCUGUCUCUGCAAAACAGGGCCUGUCUUUUUGUUUCUUGGGUCAUUUUCUCUUUGGGCUGUUUUUUUUGCUUUUGGCAAGUUGGAUCUCACAUUAUUGAGACGAACGACCUGUAGACAUGAGCAGAUUUCCAGGCCAUCCAAACCACAGAAACUACUGACUGUUGGUGGACACGCGACUAAAUCGAUCACAGUUUGUCAGGUGUUCUCUUUUUAUCCUUUCGUUCCUUUGGACCUCUGAAGCAGCGGCCAGUACCUUUGACCACCAGCCUUUCUAUUCAACCUUCAAUCUCAUUCUCAAGUAAGUUAUCUCUCUCUCAUCUCGGGGUUUUAUUUUUUAAUUAUUUUUCCCCCACAGUUCUUGGAUCUGCCCCCAUAUCCCUCCAUGUUAGGGUUUUGUCAAGUUUCUCUUUUUUAUCUCACACUUCACCUUUUUGGCUUCUUUGUGCCAUUUUUUAAUUUGGGUUUUCUUUUAUAUGUUGAAAGUCCAAAAUCUGACUAUUGAUUUUAUGAGUACCCAAUUGUUUGAACUCUCUAAAGUUUUUUCCUUUUUGGAGAAUUACUGAAUAUUUGACUAAAAAAAAAAAACCUUUUUGGAGUUGUUGAAUAUAUUAUAUGAAUUCUCUGUUUAAUUUCUUCUGCUCCUUGGUUUUUCUGUUAUUUUAUUCAUAAGUAUUGUUUUGCUUGUUAAGGUUCAGCUGAUUUUACAGGAAUAUUAACUGAAAUGGCUGGAGGAUUGAUCCACCAGGUCUUAAGGAGGAAACUUCAAUCUCAGUCUGCUGUAAGAUUCUUUUCUCCUUUUCCUGUGUUGGUAUUAAAGUUACCUUUAGAAUGAGCUUAUACGGACCCGUAGUCUACAUGGUUCUUACUGGAUUUUCUUAUGUCACCUAGAAAUAUUUAGCUACAUGGAUUUUCCACUUUCCUGAAGAUAAAUUCUAACUUUUAAGGCCAGUUUUGUUACACUGUGAUGUAUUUUCAUCUCUGAAUAAUAAUGAAAACUUUCUGUUAGGCUGCCUUUUGUCUGAUUCUAUUGGACUCAAUUCAGUGCAGUUUAAGGUUUGCUGCUAAAUAAUAGAUAUAAUUUAGCCUAAGAUAUUUUUUUUCUGUUAGGGUGCCUUUUGUGUGAUUCUAUAGGAUUCAAUUCAGUGCAGUUUAAGGUUUGCUACUAAAUAAUAGAUAUAAUCUAGCCUACGAUAAUUUUCUCCCAGAUACCAAUACUUGUUAUGCAUUUUUGCUCAGAUUCCAGCUUUGUCAUGGUUUACGUCAAGGAAAGUUAAUGAGGAUGCCGGAUCUACUGGUAUGAGGACAGUUGCACUCCUUGGAGCUGGAAUUUCAGGUUUGCUAGGUUUUGCAACAAUGGCAUCUGCUGAUGAGGCUGAACAUGGGUUACAUGUUCCUAAUUAUCCUUGGCCUCACAAGGGUAUCCUCAGUUCCUAUGACCAUGCUUCGUGAGUUUUAUGCCUCUCCUUUUUUAUUAUGUGCACAAAAGUGAAUAAACUUUACUUAAAAAAAAGGUGAUCCAAAUAGAAAGUUAAUUAUUCCAGUAUAUAUAGCUGGCAGUAAGCUGUCAGCUUGUCACUUAAGUCCUUGGCCAUCAAGUCUUCGUAAUAGUAAUGGUUUCUUCCUUUUAGCUUGUAUUCUACCUAUUCUCUGCACAAGAGAAAACCUUCUAUAUGUCUCACCUUCUAAUUAGAAUAGGAUGCAUCUACCUAAACCAAGGGUGCAUUUCUUCCCUAUGAAUUUAUUUAAAUCUUUUGAUAAAAUUGUAAUAUUUGUUUAAGCAUUGGCAAAAUAUUUUAAUUUUUUGAUACUAUAAUUUUGAUGACAUGAGAUUAAUUUUGCAUGAUCAGGAUUCGUCGUGGUCACCAGGUUUACCAACAAGUGUGUGCAUCCUGCCACUCUAUGUCUCUAAUUUCAUACCGCGAUUUGGUUGGCGUUGCAUAUACAGAAGAGGAGACAAAGGCUAUGGCAGCUGAGAUUGAGGUGGUUGAUGGACCUAACGAUGAGGGUGAGAUGUUUACUCGUCCUGGUAAACUCAGUGACCGUUUUCCUCAGCCAUAUGCAAAUGAACAAGCAGCUAGGUUUGCUAAUGGAGGAGCUUAUCCUCCAGAUCUAAGUCUCAUUACCAAAGUAAUUCCUGCCUUGCUUUUUAGAUCGCAUUGAAGUUACUGAUUAUAUAUCUCUGAGAUAUCAUAUUUUUAUUCUCUCAGGCUCGUCAUAGUGGCCAGAAUUAUGUGUUUGCCCUUCUAACUGGUUACCGUGACCCUCCUGCUGGCGUUUUGGUAAAUUCUGCUUUACACUAUCUUCCAUAACAUGGCAUUUUGUACAAACAUCCAAUAUUGGAACUCUAUAUCAUUGUAGAGAUAUACUGUUGGCAGAUAUAUUUAGAUAUUUGGCAAUUGAGAGGAUACAAAGGAAGGGGACAAUGUGGGCCUGAAGUUGAGAUGAAGUUUUUUGUAUCUCUUCAAAUUUGGUUCGUUUUACCUGCUGCAAUUCAACGAGUUUCUAUCUUAUGAAAAUGGCACUUUUUAAAUUCUAUGGCUUUCUGUUACAGAAAUAAUUCAGAAUCCUUACCAUUGAUUUCCCCUGGUCCAUAGUUCUUUCUAUUGGAAACUUCUGUAUGUGUGUGCGUGGCACAUGCAUGUACACUUUGUUGUUCAUAGCAGGCUACACAUAUUUAGUCUCCACUGAUUAUUUUUGGCUGGGCCAUACUUAAAGUAAUCAUUCCCCAAUUUUGUAGAUUCGAGAGGGGUUACAUUAUAAUCCUUACUUUCCUGGGGGAGCAAUUGCCAUGCCUAAAAUGCUUAUUGAUGGUGCUUUGGAGUAUGAAGAUGGCACCCCUGCAACAGAAGCUCAGGUUGGUUUCUACUUUCUUUUUCAUUCAUAUUGCAUAUGGGUUUGAGAACCCUCCUAAGUAUUUGCAUAUUUGAUGGGGUACAUGGCUCACUCUUCCAUAUUGUUAUGGUGUAGAUGGGGAAAGAUGUGGUGACAUUUUUGUCAUGGGCAGCAGAACCAGAAAUGGAAGAAAGGAAAAUGGUGGGUAUUAUUAUCAUAAACAACUAUUUCAUCGAUAGACCUUGUUUUAACGAAUUUAUUUCUGAUAUUUCUGUCUUCUAAUGCAGAUGGGUUUUAAAUGGAUAUUUGUAUUGUCAUUGGCAUUACUUCAAGCUGGUUAUUACCGGCGCAUGAAGUGGUCUAUUUUCAAAUCUCGCGGCUGGUAGUUGAUGUUAUCAACUAGUCUCCCCAGUUUCUCGCAUAGUAAAUGGCAUUUUGGGGUUUUAAUUUAGCAAUAAUUGCAUAUUGGGAUGAUCUGGGUUCUGCCAUGACCAGUUGUUGGUUCUUUUUUCUCAAAUGGUAAAUGGAGGUGACCUGAAUUGAGUCUUUUUUUUUCCUAGUUGAGGAAGAAAUAAGCACGUCCAUACACGUACAUUAUUUUUUUGCUUUGAGACAUUGAAUAUUUUUAGAUCUCUUUUUCAAUGCUUCUCUUAUGGUUGGUAUACUUGAGAUCACUGUUCUCAGUGUGGACUAAAAUUGUCAUUAUAUAUCUGUGAAUGGAAUCCGUUUGAACAAAAAUCGCCCACUCAUGAUUUUCAUCUAUUUCGUGACAUGGUGUUCUUUAAAUUAUUUCUUCUAGUGGAAACGUGGAUCAACUUGUUGACGUCCAUGGUGGCUAAUUGGUUUGAGUUGUUAUUCACUGUUGAAGGAUAGGGAUACAUGGCUAGAGCCAUUAGACUUUCCAGAUUCCUUAGCAUGGUCUCAUAAAUUGAUUCACGAUUUGAUUGAAUCCAAAUAGCAUUGCCUGGAGCCGGGCGCCUGGAGCCUCGAAUUAUCUACUGAUAUCAUUACUUGCGGUAAGGGUUUUGAUGCAAAUCAAGCAUGCCAUGCGCUUCUUUUAAUUUUAUUCACCAACCACUUUUGAAUAAUAAAAAGGUUCCAAAUACAACAUCAGGAGUACAAAAGGAACUAACUAACCCCUAGAACAAACAAGAACAAACUAGAACAAACUUUAGAAGAACAAACUAGAACAAACUUUAGAAGAACAAACUAGUACAAACCUCAGAACAUCAACUUCAACUAAUCCUCAUCAACAGAAUCCACACUGGUAGAUAAAUGAGGAAAAUACCAAACGGGUGAACUUAUGAAGAUCUUUGGUUUCCCAUCCUUUCUAGUUACCUGCACAUGCUCGUUCGUACUUCCAGCAACAUACCGUGCCCUGUAGCCACCUAAAAUGCGUGCGUCUUCCAGGUAGCAGACCCGAUUCAAGGGCUGGCUAGUGCGAGCCUUAGAUGGGGUUGGGAAGCUUAAGCCACAACACUUCAUGUCACCCAAGAACAAUAUUUCACCAUUUAGUUUCACCUUCUCCCAUUCCAUCCUCUCAAAGUCUAGCCUGUGAACCUUAAUAGGACCUGCUUUUGCAUAAAAGCGAGCGAGAUAGAGCUCUUCAUGAGAAGCAACUAAAUGCAGAUUAUCUAUGGGGGAAGAAACACUUCUCACUUGCAGAUAUGUCACCAAAUGAUCAGAGUUCAAAUUUAAAGUCCCGAUUUGGCCAUUUCUACUCAAGAUAUAUAUCUUACCCUUGAAGACAGUAACAUCUACAAUCACCAGAGGAUCCUCCUUAUUAUAUUCAAUGAUAGUCCAGUUACCAUGUCUAGACGUACAAAACUGUACGAAAGGGUGCAACCUGGAAAAAGCUACAAUUACAAAUUCUGGAUCAGACUUGGGCAAAGAAGCCACAAUGACAUGACAAUACCUUCUAGGUGGACUUGGAAAUUGAGUUCAUGCCUUGUAAAAGGAUUCACUAGCCAUAUAUUUGCCUUCUUUUGUCAUUUCUGAGUCCCUUAAGACCAAGUACCCACAAGUGAAUCCCACACAUUUAUUCCCUGCAAGGUGAGGCAGUCCUGCCUUGUAAAGUCCGUUGUCAAAUAUGUUGUAGAAGUAGCCAUACUUUCUAGCUUUUGUUGGCAUGAGAAAAACAAGUGGGGCUUUGAGAUGCCAUAAAUUCUUGCUUCAAUGCAAUAGCAACGAAUCUCCAUGACUUACAAACACAAGCAAAUAACAAGAAUUCUAAUCACCCCCAACUGCUUCAGGAUCACCACAAGUAGAUCAGCUGGGAGUUCUGACCACCGUGAGCAAUUACCAACCUCAAUCUCCAUUCUUUUUCUGCUACCCCCACUGAAAUCAAGUGUCAUCAACCCUUUGCAAAUCCAUGCCUCUUUUCCACAAAAAAGAGAGAUAAAUCACAAUUCAUCCAUUAUUAUGUUCAAAAGCAAAUAAGAGCCUACUUGUAUCAACAAUAACAGUAGAAUGGUAUCUUUUUUUAUUAUACAAACUAAAGGUAAACAUCAAAUGUCUAAACAUUUGGUCUUAAGUAAAAAACAAAAACAAGCAAAUGAAACAUUUUUUUUAAGGUAAAAAAAUCCUUAAAUAUUUCUAGGCAAAGAAGAUUCAACAUAGAAUUUGGAAUAAGUAAACAAACUCCCUUUUUUAUAGAAACUAUAAAUUUGAGCAAAAAUCUGUUUGCUAUCCAAGAAAAUCCACAAUAAACAAAGGUUAAAUAUCAAAAAAAAAAAAAUCUCAGCAAAUAAACAGAUGUUUAAUGUGAUAAAACAUCAAAACAAAGAGGAAAUCACAUGUUACUGCAAAAAAUAUUUUUUAAAAAAAAUACCUGUUUAGAAGUUUUCUUUUGCUUUAGAAUGAGAGAGAUGGGUAAUAACCAAAGUGCAUAUAUAAGGAUUUCAUUAGGUUAGCAUUAGGAAAUACUUAAGAAUUUUCCAAACUAAGAAAUUGGUUGAUAAGGAAUUUACAUUUUUGGCUGGAAUUGCUCAUUAAGAUCAAUAGGCGCUUAUUACUAAAAUUGUAUUUUAUUGGUUAAAUUUCAUCAAUUCUUGAAAUAAAAAAUUCUUUGAUUUAUAAAUUUCCUCGAUUAUUGGAAAUAAAAAUUCUACGGCUUAUUAACAAAUCAUAUAACUUAAAAAUUGUAUGAUUUAUUAAUAGAUCAUAUAACUAUUAGUAUACUUAUUGCUAACAUUGUAUUUAAUUACUUAAAUUUCCUUAAUUAUUGAAAUUAAAAAUUCUACGAUUUAUUAAUAGAUCAUAUAAAUGUACGAAAUUAAAAAUUUUACGAUUUAUUAACGAAUUAUAUAGCUGUUUAUAUAAUUGUGGACAUUAAUAUUGUUUUUCAUCAGUACUAGUUAAAAGGUUCUUAAUAUUUAAUAUUGACUGAAUCUUAAAUCUUAGGUUAGCAUUAGGAAAUACUUAAGAAUUUCCCAAAUAUAAGAAACGGCAGAUAAGGAAUUUACAAUUUUGGCGGGAAUUGUUCAUUAAGAUCAAUACACACUUAUUACUAAAAUUGUAUUUUAUUACUCAAAUUUCAUCCAUUAUUGAAAUUAAAAAUUUAUGAUUUAUUAACAAAUCAUAUAACUUAAAAAUUUUACGAUUUAUUAACAGAUCAUAUAAUUAUCGACAUUAACAAUGUUUUUUCAUUAGUAUUAGUUAAAAAGUUCUUAAUAUUUAAUAUUGACUGAAUCUUAAAUCUUAAGGUUAAUUGUGUAAAAAUAGUUGUUGCUAUUGUUAUGUAUGAUUAUUAUUUCUUUUAUUACUAAAUUUUUUUGCCUUAUUCUUACUAAAAAUGUAGAAAGGAGAAGAAACAAAUUGCAUAAUAAAUUUUAUUUUUUAUAUAAUUUAAUUAUCAAUUAUCAUUGAUUUAUUUUUUAACCUUUAAUUCCUUGAAAAUUAGGCCUAAUCCAACAAUAAUGAAAAAUAUUUUUUUUUGGUAAGAAAAAAUCCUGGAAUAGAUAGGUUGUUCAGUCUCUCAAGUAAGGAUAAGAUGUGUCGUAUCUGACAGUCUAAAACAGGUGUCAUUUGAGAUGACUUCAAUAAAUGAUCAUCGAUGAAAUUCGAACUUAAAAUCUUCUCAUCGAAAAAAAAUAACCUUAAUCAAUUGAAUCAACAACUUAUUAAUAACAUGAAAUGACUUAUUAUUCUUAUCUCAUUUAUGCCCGGCCUCAUUUGAGCUCAAAACUUUAUAAGGUUAUUAUCGUUGACCGAGGCCCAAUUUCCAACUACGAAUACAAAUUCAACUAAUAAAAAAUAAAUUUCACAAAGAUAAUUUCAAAAAUAUUGAUGAUUGAAGGAAGAUAAUAUAAAUUUACUUAUUAUGUAUUAAACACUGUAUUUUUUUUUAUUGAUGUGUGAAAAAAAAAUUAUCAUUUGCCAAUAUUCAAAUUUCUGUGAUAUACAUCUACCUAUGUAUCUCAAAUUCUUGCUCCAUGUAUCACAAGCUUAAUUAAAUUUACAUUUUCAAUUAAAAAAAAUUGAUUUAUCAUGCAAAUUUUUUUAAUCAGUCUAAUAGCUAGCUACUAACUUUUUUUUUAAUCUAAUGAUCAAAUUUUUAAUAAUUUUCCAUAAAGGUCUAAAAAAUUAGCCAUAAUAAUUGGAAAAAAUGAGGAUGACAAGGCUACGAUGAGAUAGAACAUAGAACAUAAUUAUGUUAUGGGGAUGUUGAAAAAUAUUCUUGAACUUGGUCCACUGGAUAAUGGUUGGAUUUUUUUAACAUGCCAAGUAAAUCCGAGGAGUAAUCAUAAAAUUUGAACCCAUCAAUUCCAUAACAAAUUAACACAAAGAAGUGAGAUCUUUCAUUGAUUAAGUAUUGGAUGUUGCUUGAUAAGUUUAGACUUAGUAGCCUUUAUGGGUAAGACGAUGAUGGUGACUCACCCAGAUUAGAUAUGGGUUUAGGUUAUUAUUUGGGUUUCUUUAUGAAGAUUAAAUGAUGGAUUAAUGUUCUGAUUGUAUCAACGAAAAAAACCUUUCAAAAAAUAAUUUUCAUAUUUUCAUGCAUUUAUUUGAUAAAAAAUUGAUUGUUCAAUGAAAAAUAACUUAUUAAUCAACAAAAAAUAAAAUCAUUUUUUUAAAAAAUUAUCUUACGAAUUUAAAAAAAAUAUAUUUUUUUGAAAAAAAUUUAUCUAUAAUUAAAAUUAUUUAUCAAUACUUUUGAACAAAAUUUUACUUAUAAAUAAUAUUAUACUAAUAAAUAAAUAAUAUUAUAUUAAUAAACAAUAUAAUAUUAAUAUAAUAUUUUAAUAAAUAAUAUAAUAAAUAAUAAAUAGAUUUAUUUAAGUAUUUUAUUAAUAUAAUAUUUUAAUACUAAAUAUUAUUGUUAAAAUAUAAUUAUUUUUUAAUAUUAAUAAUUUUGAUAAUAAAUAUUUUCAAUAUACUUUACUAAUAAAUAAUUUAAUAUUUUAAUAGUUAUAUUAAUAUUAUUUUAAAAAAUACAGAUUUUUUCAAAAAAAAUGAAAAAUAUUUUUUAUUAACUCCUCUAAAUAAUAAAAAAUUUCUUUUAAUUCAAAAAUUUAAACAUUUUCAAAAAUUAUUUUUCACGAAGCAACUUUAUAUCUAGCAUAAAGGAUUGUUAUCGUGAGAUUUAAACAUCAAACUUAUUAGUUAUAAUCUCUUCAAGGUGACUGCAUGAUCGAUUUUUAAAUCACUACAUCGAAUAAGUACCCACGAGUGUUCGAAUCCACUUUCCCAAAUCGAAGAAAAAAAUGCUUAAAAGUCACAUACCUGCCUUGAUCUGGAUUUAUACAUAUUGCUACAUAGUUUUUCUACAUAGCAUUAACUCAAUCCAUGUUCAUCUUGAGCAGAUCUAUAACAAACUUGGCUUAGCUGAUACAAACUAGGCCUCAUAACAUCUUCAACAUUCUUUCACACAAAUUAUUGUGCAUGAACCUUAUUUGCUUUGGUGAAGUUGAUUGAUGUUUCGAUCAAAAAUCUGGGCUAGCUUCAAACCUUGAUCUAUAUGACAGCUUGACAUAGCAAUGAAAUUAUUCAGUACUAUUUAUAACCCCCUGAGUUCAACACUUACCAUGCAUAUAUACACUUCCAGGAGUAAGCUGCACAGUUUAGUUCUUUCUUUUUGAUCUUUUGAUGCCGACGGCCCUCAAUUAGAAAAAAAACCUUGACAAAUUAAGGAAAAUUUGUUAGAAAAUAGAGAAUUUUGCAUGACACUACUGUAUGCAAGGGUAAAUAAUAAGUUCAAUUAUUCUUAUCCAAACACGUCAUAGAUUUUUGCAUGUAUGUAUUCAUGCGAUCUUAUUUGUGUGUGCAUUCUCAUAGGUAUAUGAAGGGUAUUUUUCGGCCUAAAAGUAAAAUACUUGUUUUUUCCUCACUAGAAACUGUUAACAAACAGUCAGAGGCAUUUUCAACUUUUGAGUCGAUCUAAUAUGUCAUGCUGACCUAACAUAUACAAUGCCAUGUUAACUCGAUCACCUCACCAAUUUACACCGCAGACCUCUCACCUUUCAUUCAUAAAUAGGACCAUCCAAAUAUUAUCUAAUCAUCUUGCUUUCUUCUACUUUCUUUCUAUUUUACUUUCCUUCUGACCUUCUAUAGCCGAUCUCUGACUUGAGCAUCGGAAUACAAGUGUAGAGAACAUUAUCUAUCUUUACCUUUAAUCGCUCUCUUUCACUUUCUUAUGAUUUCAAAGUUUUACAUCUCAACUCGGACCUCGACACAAACAAUAUAUAUAUUGAAGUGAUCUUUCCUAAUUAUAGAUUUUCCUACGUUAAUCAUAUAUAUAAUAUGCCAAUUGUCAGUGGUCCAACAUCAUGCUUAUAUGUAUCCCACACCUUAUAAGCUAAUUAUACUUUAACUCAAACAAUAUGCAUCAUCAUUUCUUAGCUUCUCUAAAGAAACCCAAAAAAGAGAAUGUCCUAAAUGAACUUGCUUACCUAAAUCUCCUUAAAUACAAAAACAAUCAUAGAACUAAACACUAAAGUAUGAACUUCAACAACAACAGCCAAAAACACAUUAAAAAGCCCCAAAAAACACCCUAAAGGUCUUGUUCUCUCAAUCAUCAUCAUUUAUAAGUAUAUAAGACUAAUCAUCCUUGUUUCCAUUGAAGUGCUUCAAUUCAUAUAUAUAUAUAUAUAUACACAUACAAUUCUCUAGGAUGGAACCCACAUUUAUUAUGUUAUUUAGCCAUCAACUUAAAGUAUGUUCUGAAUCUAUAUGUAUGUAUGUAUAUGUAUGUGUAUAUAUAUAAAUAUAUAAGUAUCAUAUUACACUUAUUGCACCAUCACAUAUAUAUAUUCCACAUUUAUCAUGUUAUUUACCCAUGAACUUAAAGUAUGUUCUGAAUAUAUAAUGUACGUAUGUAUGUUUGCAAUAUGUAUGUGUGUGUAUAAAAAUAUAUAAGUAUCAUAUUACUUGCACCAUGUAUGUAUAUAUAUAUAUAUAUAUAUAUAUAUAUAUAUGGCUUACUAUGAAAACUUUUACCAUACGUACUACUUAAAUUAGUGUACUUUUACCCAGUGUGAGUGUGUUUUCAACUUUCUUGCAUAAUUAGCUGUCUGUGACAGACACAUAGUUGGUUAGCUUUGAAUAUAUAUUUAGAUCCACAGUGAUUUGUGAAAUUCCUGUUCACGAGUUUGUUUAAUUUGGCUUAUGGAAAUACAUAGUUUUCUUAAAACUUAGUACUUAUUAUCUAGGAUCCUAGCUAGGUCUAGGGUGUGGAUGGCUGAACAGGAAUUCAAACUCAAUAUGAUUUCCCCUAGAGAAAGGGAGAGGAUUUCUAGUGAGCUUAAGGCAUUCAGUCAACAACCCAAUUUCAACCAGCCACUCCUCAAUAUCACAACCAAAAUUGAGGAAUUCAACUAAUAGACCCAACUGUAGUAUUUCCCCAUCUACCAAACUGGUAAAAACGAACACCACCACACAAAACAACACAGCUCAUCAUCAGUACUCUAAUUUUCUAUCAGAAUCUUGAAUAUUGGGUAGUUUUCAUUCUUUCUAGCAGCAUCCUCCACCUCAUCUGUUCCAAUAAAAGUAGCAGAUAAAAAGAAAAGUUAUUUCUACCAGCUUCCAGCAAAUCCUGCUUUGCCAACCUAACAAUUCCUUACGAACAUUUUAAAAUACCAAAUAUAUAUAUAUAUAUAUAUAAAAGAUAAAUCUUAAACUUUUUAAAUACUAUAUAAAUAUAAUAUAAUAUAAAUAUAAUAUAAUGAUAUAAUACGAAAAAGAUAUGAAAGUAUUUAUUUUGGGUUACGAGUGUAGAAAUGAAGAUGAUAUGAUAUUUUUUAUAUUUUAUACAUAUUUAAUAUGAAAACAAUAUAUACCAAUAGUGAUCUAAUAUGAGAAAAAAAAUCCUAGGACUCCUAAGAAUAUGGGUUUUGUUUGUUAAUACCUUAAACGCUCUUAAAAAUCCUGUACCCCAUUUUCUUUCUUUUCAAGUUCCGUGCGCAGUUCUAAUUGCAUUUGAUACCAUAAAUUUUUUAGUCUUCAUUUUUAUAAUUAUUAUUACUACUUAACAAGUAGUUUUAGUACGUUCUUUUAGUUAAAAGAACAGUCCACAUUACCUGAUUUUUCUUCUAUUUUGCUUCAUUUUUUUCUUUAUUUACUACUUUGAUCCUCAUUUUCCUGAACGGCCGAGACUGAGAGCAGCCUCGACGUCGAGCCGCCAUGCAAAGCCACCGUCACCAUCCAGUUUCCAGACAUCACACGGCAACAUUCUCGAGCACUUCUCCUUCUGCCACGUGUACUGCAACCUUACCUUGCAUGAAAAUGCAGUGCAAAACCUAGGUAACUCUUGUUUAAUCACGAGCCAAACCAUUAUCUCCGGUGGUGGUGACAGCAGCCCGUCGUCAUUCCCUUCCCCCGCCGUCAUCAUCCUCUUGUAAGCCCCGUUAACCCACCAAACCGUAUUCAAACCAUCUGAUAUAAACCCUGGACACGUGUCAGCCUCCAGAUUCUUCAUUCUUUCCACGUCCGUACUCCCUAGCUCUCUUCCUUCCAUGCAACUGUCUGCCACGCACUCCACCGUCACCCAAGACUCCACCACCGUUACGCUUCUCUUUUGACUCAUCACCACUGUCCAAUCAGGUUCUUCGAAACCUCCCAUACGAUCAACCCGCCAACGGUUGUUGAAGUUCAAGUUAAAUAAAGAAGGUGGAUCUUGAUUUUCCUCCAUAACUGCACUGUUUUGAUUGUUAAUAGAUCCGUUUGCUUCAGUUUUGUCUGGUAAUAACUGCAAGGUAACAAUCUUUUCAGGAUUCUUUGAAGCCUCUCCAUGAUCUGAUGACGAUCUUUUCUUUCUCUUGAUAUUAUUCUUUCGAACCCUAACGUACUUUCUUUUAGCUCUUGGCUUACAAAGCAACCAGUUUUUAUCAUCAAACCGAACCCCACAGGAACCUGACUCUCCGGCGACCGGUUUUGGAGCUAUCGGCCGGAAUCUUAGCAUUAUCUCAUUGAUCACAGUCUUAUCUCGUGAACCCCCUUUGUAGCUAACCAUGCUCCUUUUCUCACCGCCGUUCGUCUCUCCGCCGCCGUUUUAACCACCCCCAGAAAAAUCAGAGCUUCUCGUCCCUUCUCUCUUCAAAUCUCAAUCUUCAGUCUUAAAUUUCGGGAUUUUUUUGGAAGGUUUUGUUUGUGAGAAGCGAUAAUCAUAGCGGCAAAUUAACAGCGAAGUAACACCUGGCUAUGGAACAAAGAACAGUGGAGCGAUGUGAUUGGUUAAAAUUUUAGUGGGGCCCACAGAAAAAGUGAAGGGGACGAAUCUAGUAUGAUUGAGCGUUGGAGAUGGGCCCCCGAUGAGGACCAAUGAGAAGAAGGCUUGUGUUCAGCAUUGCCGAAAGAGAAGGGACACGUUUGUGAACAGAGUUUUAUACUGUCGAAUGAAGUGGAAAAAGCACAAAAGGCUUUUAAUGGGGGAGGUUCGAGAAAGCGCACACUUGGUCCUUGCUCAUUAGCUUUCGUCCUCGGUUCUCUAGUUUCACAUCUCACAUUCUUCCACUCGCCACUUCCCCCGUGAACACUACCUUACAGCUAACUCCCUUAGCAAAAAUUUUAAUAUAUUUAACAAAUAUUGUUGUACAUUGAUUUAAGUAUGAAAUACGUAUAAAAAUUUUAAUUUCAAUGUGAUAAUAUAACUCCUUAAAUACCUUAAAAAAUCAAGAAUAACAAUUCAAUAAACUCAAAUUUUAAAUUGAUUUUAAAAACACAAUUAAUUUAUAAAAAUAUAAAAUUAUUACCUAAACUAGGGACUGAUGGAACGCACAAAAUUAGCGCGUGGAAGAGCUGAUUUAACGACAGCACGAGGGACGCGUGGCGGAUUCGACAAAGCGGUGGAUCUAUGAGUACAGAUUUCUGACGUCAUCCAAUUUUCAAAGAAGUAGUUCCAUGUGUUUCUUUUCUAUGGAAUUUGAUUUCUGCUGAUGCCACGUGCAUUGUCUACAAUUUUUUACUACAAAAAUUACUAAAUGGCUUUCCUAGAGGAAUUGUGUGAAAAAAGCCAUUUGGCACGAGUGUCUAGGAUCUAAUACCAAUUAAACUUAACGUAACCUACUUUAUAAUGGUACAAUUAAUAUUUUUGUUUAUUAAAAUUAUAUUUACUACACUUAUGUUUUGUUUUUAGUUUAAAAACAUUAAUUAUUUAAAUGAAGCAUUAAUAGCUAAUAACUAUUAUGACGGGCUAAAAUAAAAGAAUUUAUAAGUUGUUGGACAUAACUAUUAUUUGUAAUUUUAAAAAUAUUUUAUUCAAGACUACUUAUGUAUACCAUCAUGUUUCCAGCAUCACCAAUCUUCCUUCGAUAGAUUUGUUAAUUAUACAAAAAAAUCAUAUAUAAAUUAUUAUUUAAAAAAUUAUAUAUUAAAUAUUAAUAUAUAAUACAUAAUUAUUGGUUAAUUUUACCUUUCUUUUCAAUAUUCGUAGUUGUCUUUUUUAUUUUUGUAUAAAAUUAUUUUAGUAAUUAUUUCAAAUUUUAUUAAAAAAUAAUUUUUUUAAAUUUAUUUUUUUAUUUAUAAAACUCGAAACUAAAAUUUUACUUUAAAAAAUCAAAAUUUUAUAUCACUACAUUAAUUUAAUUAUCUUCCAUUUUUCAUAUUUUUCACGCUUUUGAAAUAUUCAUUCCACAUUAAAAUUAGUAGUGUAAAACCUACCACGUUGUCACAAUUUGUUAGAUUUUUUCCUUUCACAAUACAUUAUAAAUCUCUUCCUAAUCUAAUAUUUAUAACUAUACACAAACAAAACAAAACAAACCUACAUAUUUAUUUUUUGUAUAUGCAUCCAUUGUUUUGUACUAGCAUUCUUGUUUUCUUUACAAAGUAUUACGAGAACAAAAAAGUUUAAAUUACCUGCAAAAACAUGGAAAUUUAUGAUUUCAUUGGUUUUUCCAUUUUAGAGUCCCAAACUGAGUGCAGCCUUGACAUCGAGCCUCCACGCAAAUCCACCGCAGCUCAUCUUCCACACAUCGCAAGGAACCAUUGUUGAGUGUUUCCUGCUCUUAUCCUUUCCAUCGCCGUACUGUAACCCUACGCGGCAUGAAAAUGCACCAUGUGGGAACAUGAACCCGUCUUUUACCACCAAGCCUAUGGCGGUUUCAACCCCUUCAGCGUCCACGCCCACCAUGUUUUUAAAGGCUUGGUUCACCCAGAAAACCCGGUUCAACGUAUCUGAUACAAACCCAGGACACGUGUCCUUCUCAAGAUUCUUCAUUUUCUCAAAGUCUGUACAGUUCCUCAUCUCUCCUUCGUCCAUGCAAGUGUCCGUCACGCUCUCCACCUUCACCCACGAUUCCAUCACCGUCGUCCUCUUCCUGGGGGAUGUUACCAACGCCGUCUGAUCCGACAACCCCAUCAUCGCCACGUCAUCUGCAACCACUUUCUUCAACUUCAAGCACAUCGAUGGUGAUUCCUGUUCCUGAAAAUAAUAAUUAUUACCUACCGUUGGAUUGAGAUCAUCAACAACACCUAAUGACCCUUCACCAACCAUCGAUUUCUCUAGAUCAGCUUCCUCUGGUAUCAACUGUAGAGUAACAAAACUCUUCUCCCCAUCUUUAUUUUCUUUAGAUUCAUCCAAGAUUCGUCGCUUCAUAUUAUUUUUCUUACAAACCCUAACGUAUUUUCUUUUUGCUCUCUUGCUAGCAACAACCAAGUUUUUGUUACUAAACAUAGAGUCCCUGGAAACUGAGUCUCCGGUCACCGGUUUGGGAGCAAUCGGCCGGAAUCUGAGCAUUGUCCUGUUGGUUAUCGUCUUAUUUUGUACCCCACCAGCGCAUUUUAGCAUGCUCCAAGGAUCUUCCCCUUCCAUUUAUCCUUCAAAAUAACGAAAACCCCAACAAUAGCUCUCUCUUCGUUUUUGUCUUAAAUUUUCUUUGGGUUUUAUUUUCUCGGUGUUCUAGUUUUGUAUAUUUUUUUCUACUAAGGGGCUUUACCGGAGCUGAAGCGAUAAUCAUAGCGGCAGCAAUCCUGGCCAGUGCACAAGACGCCACGUGUCCUAGGCGACACUUGAAAUAAUGACGAGCCUUGAUUGGUUGAAACCCAAUGGGCCCUAGAGGAAAAAAAAGUUGCUAGUUUUGGCGUGUUGCCAAUGAAAAAUGAGGAUGUGUCAGAAAUUCCGUAAAAGGCGGACACACGUGGCCGUACCUCGGGAGAUGGCAUAAAUUUUGUUCUUCAUGCCAUUUGGUGGGUAGGUUGCAGAAUAUCUUAACACGUAGCUUCUUUUCAUUUGUUACAAAAGAGUAAGUUCAGUUGACAGUCACAUCUACUUUUCCUGCUAUGAAGCGCGUGAACGCAAACGUUUAAUAUUUUUGGAAUGCCCCAGAGCUGACUCAGUUUCAACUGUAUUGUUUUUUUUUUUUGCCAAACAACUGUGUCAGUAAUUUAUUAUUUAAGUUGAUUAAUUUAGUUUGAAUAAUAAAAAAUAAAUUUUAUUAAUAACCAUUGCUUAUUUUAUUGAGACCAAAAUAGUUUAAGAAAAUGGUUUUUUAUUUAAUCCACCAUUCUCAUCAAUUUAAAAAAAUAAAAUCUCAUUCACAAAAUAAUAAGAUUAUUCUUAAAUUUGUUUUUACUAAGAUCAUCUUAAUGAAUAUCAACAUAGAUCAAUUAAUAUUUCUCUUAUCAUAUAUUUUAAUCUCACUUUAUUUGUCUUUGUUUGAUUUUUUGAUUAAAUGAACUUAAUAUUAAUUAUUAUAUUUAAAAAUUUUAUAUUAAACUAAUAUUUUAAAAUUUUAAAAAUCUUAUAUGAUUUUAUUAAAAAUUAAAGUUAAAUUCAUUUGACUUAAAGAAUAAUACAAGGACAAGUAUAAUGAGACCAAAAUAGUAUUACAUAUAAUGUUAUCUAAAAAUUAUAAUAUUGGUUUACAUGAGAAAUUAAAAAUAAAAGCAAAGCAACUAAUUAACCAGGCCGUGAAUAAUGUAAAUAGAGUGUGAGCACGGGCCGGGCUGAGAGUGGGAUUAGGUGAUAACUGCUGGGAACUGAUGAUAUUACAAUAGAGGACGCGUGGAUGAUGUGAUGAAAGGCAGAUCUGGGGAUUGAUUUGAAAUAUGACGUGGAGGAAUACAAUUGGCUGAAAAUAAGUUGUUAAGGGUCCCAGUGUCCUCCAAUGAGAGUUACGACUUUGGAAAUGUCUGUGUCUGUCUUUUUCUUUUUUAGCGGGUCAAACAUGGCAUCAUCAAGGAUAUCCUACCCUUUGGUAAAAAAUAAAUAAAUAAAUAAACAUCUAUUUAGCGUAAAAAUGUUGGAACAAAUUUAAAAAAUUUAAUCAACAAAUAAUUAAUAUAAUUGAUUAAAAUUAUUUUAUUCGAUGAAAAAUUUUAGGUUUAAAUUUUAUUAUUGAUCAUUUAUUGAGAUAAUCUUAAAUAUAUGAUAUAUAACAUUUAUUUUAAAUUAUUAAAUACAACACAUUUUAUUAUAAUUUAAAAUUUUAAACAAUUUAUUUAUUUUAAAUAUUUUUUAAAAAAUAAUAAAAGAAAAUUAUAUACCUAUAAAAUAAAUUGGACAAAUAGUUUUAAUUGCUGGCUAAAUUGAAAAAUGUGUCAAAUUUAGGGCGUUGAAAUUAAAUUAGAGAAGAAUGUAAUAAAAGAGAGAGUAUAAGGUUUAGAGAGAGAAAGUUUUACAAGUCUAAUUUGAUUUUUUUUUUUCUUUUAUAUAUGUGAAUGCUUUGACUAUGUAUUCAAACAUUUUGUUCAAUAACCUAUUCAUAUUUUCUUGCUUGACAAACAAUAUUUAAGUUCUUUUUUCUAAAAUGAAAAAAUAUUAAAACUUAUAAAUUUUAUAUAAAUUGUGCAUUACUUUUAUUAUAACUAAUUAAUUAAUUAAUUAUGAAGUGAAAAAGUGACAGAAUGGGUAAGGAGAGGGUGAAAAAGUGGAAAAAAAAUUAAUUGAGUGCUUUUUGGUAAGAAGUAAAAUUAAGAAAAAAGAAAAUAUGAAAAAUGACUAUUUUCGCACAUAUUCACAAAUAUAAAUCAUUUCAAAUUAAAAUAAAUAGGAAAGAAAAAAAGGAUGUGAUUGUAUAUUGUAUAUUUACAAGAUUUUCCAUUAUAUUUAAGAUUUUUUUUCAUAUUAUAUUACAAAAGAUUAUUAUUUAUAAAAAAAGUUUUAAUGGUAAAAUAUUACUAUUUUAAUUUUUUUUCCUUUUUAAUUUUGCCAAGUAAUGAAUGAAAAGAAAAUUAUUAUUUUUUAACUUUUUUUUUACUAACCAAGACACUAAUAAAAAUUAGGGAUGUUAAUGGAUAAAGUAUGGAUAACAUAGAGCAUACUCCAUUUUCAUUUUUAAAAUUUUAUAUUAUACUAAUUUUCGUACUUAUAUUUAAUGAAUAUUUUAAUAUAUAUCUAUUUUCAUCUCUAUGGGUAUUUAAUGAAUAUGGAUAAUCAUCAUACCCGUAGCUUAAAAAAAAUUAAAAUUAAAAUUUUUAAUUUUUAUCUUGUAUAUUUAAAUAAUUAUUUUAUAAAUAUAUAUUAAUAUAUAUUUUUCAAUAAAAAUAUAUUAAUUCUAAUUAAUUUAAAAUAAUAAUAUAUACUAUUUAAUUAAAAAACAUAUUUACUAAAUAUAUAAAAAUAUAUAUAACGUACAAGUAAGGGACAAAUAUUAUAUUACCCUUGCCCAUCCUCAUAUUCAAUAAAAAUUUAAAAUUAUACUUAUCUUAUUAUUAUAUUUAUAAUAUAAUACCCAUUUCUAUCUCUAUUUCGAAUAAAAAAUUAGAUUCUCUAUUGAGUAUGAAUAAGAUUAACAUUCAUAAUAAAUUUUUUUUCCUAAUUUUACAUAUUUCAAAAUUUUUAUUCACCAUAGAAAAUAAAACAAGGUUAAAUGGAUGCUACAAAAUGCAAUAAAUAUAUAUAUUUUUCUCUCUCUUGCUUCUUUCUUGGUUUGUUACAACAUUCUUGUUCUUUUUAAUGUUAUCUCUUUUAUUUUAUUUGGCAAUCAAAGUGUUUGUUAUCAACUAAUGGAUUAGAUUUCACUUCAUUCACCUUGAUGUCAUUAUUACGUAAAAUUGUUGUUCCAAUAAGGAUGGAUAAGCAUGCAAUGCCAAUAAUUCAAAACUAUUAUUCAUUUCAACAGUGGCCUAAUGAAUUUUCAUGACAUCUUGUUGUUUGGUAAGACUAUGACAUUUGUUAAAGUUGAAAAUGGAGGUCAUGUACGAGAAGGAUAAAUAGUAAACAUGUCAAUUAAGAAAAUAUAUUUUAUUUUUUUAUCGAAAUAAAUUACGAUAUAUAAUUUUUAUAUAAAAUAUAAUAUAAAUAUAUAAAUUUUAAUAUUUUAAAUAAUAUAAAUACACGAAGAUUUAGUAAAUUGACUCUUUCCGCGUUGAUGAUUGAUAAUCACAAACUUAAACAUGGGCCGUAGCUAAUAGGCCUAGAGGUACGGGCCAAGAACUAAAAAAGAUGACCCAAAUCUCGAAACCACUUUUAUUUUUGUUGUUGGACGAGGCCUAAUUUUCUAUUAUAUUCGGAUCAAAUAUAAAUGGGUUGAGAACUCUAAAACGAUGGCCCAAGUCUCGGAGCCACUUAUUAUCAUAAAUGGGCAACAUGGACAAAAAUUUAAUAAAAUUGUUUAGAUGAAAUUUAUAAAGUUUUAUUUUUUAAUUUUAAUUUAAUAAAAUUUAAGUUGAUAGAUUGAUAGAAUUUAAUAUGAAGAUUAAUAAUAUCUAAGAAAUUCAAUAUCAAAAUUAAUAAUAUAUAAAAAAUUAUUAAAAAUAUUAUUUAUAAUUUAAAUUUGAUCGAAAUUUAUUUAAUAAUAAAAAAUUUUCAAUAUUUUUAUUAAAAAAUCUAUUUCAAUAAAUAUAUAUAUAUAUUUUUUAAAUUUAGACGCUUGACUUAUAUGAUAACAUCUUUUAAUCUAUUAACUUUAAUUUAUUUAUUUUUAAUAAAAAAUUUUACAAAUUUUACUAUAAAACUUUAUAUAAGAUUUUCUCAAGGACUCAACGGAAAGACCGAAGCUUCAGCCCACUUAAUGGUUUUGGUUAGGGAUAGCAACAUGUCAUUGUCAAAUUUGUCUGAUAAUUUAAAAGAAACUAUCAUACAAUCACAUAAUUUUUAUUUAUUCUAAUUGGGUUCUACAUGUAUUCCUUACGCCACAGUCACAUGUAAAUUUAAAUAAAAUAAUAUUCAAUUUACAUAAGACGCAAUCAAUUUUUUUUGGGCAUUAUAAUUUUUUAAGCUCUGUUUGAAUGCAACCAGACCUCCAGUGAGAUGUCGCAAUGUGAGUUGGAUAUUUAAAUUCAUACUUAAUGGUUGACAGACAGCAUAUACUGGUAGGUAGCAUCCCAUGUCCACGACUCCUGUAUGGCUACCAUUUCCGGCUGGUAUGUGGUUAUUGACUUGCAUGUUGAAACAGAAUAAUACGGCUAGUUAUAGUUAAAUCUUAUUGUUAGGUUGAGUUGGAACCUGAAAGCUUUUCCUAGGAAAGUUGUUGCUUAAAAUAGUGGUUGGGUCUUUGAUUUCUAAAGUCAUGCCAAACAUGUACAACCUUCAAGGCAACUGCAAGUUGUCUGUCACAUCAUCCUUCUACAAAACCAGCAUUCAAAAACUCCAAUGGCUGAAUCAUGACAACUAAACUGCAUUAAUGGUUUGCAAAUGUGGCUUACGAUUCAAUAAUCAACACAAAGAAAGCUGUAGUACAGUUGUGCGGUAAAUGCAUUGAUGGUUCCGUAAGAGCCAAUGAGACUAGGAUUUUGUUUUUGCAGUUUGUGCUUCGUCUGCCAUUGCUAAGAACACCAUCCAAUGUAUAUUUUACUGUAACUUUUGUAGUAUUUGGUAUCAUGGGUCUCAAUUCUACAUGGUACUUGUUAGACAGAUUUGAUUACUUGAAUGCUGACAAUUUGACUAUUGCUAGAUAUUUACAUGUUGAAAAAAUGAUGGCCCUGGUCAUUCUGGAUUUGCAUAUCAGUUUGAAGAUUGUCUGUUAAUUAUUUAAAGCCUUUGGCAAGAUCCGAUAAGAAUUAUAUGACUGUAGUGGCAAGCAAAUACACAUUAAAUGGCAACCAUUUCACAACUGUAGUUCUUUUUCACCAACAUCAAAACAAACAGAAAAGGUUGUAUGUUAUAUGCAUGCAUUAACACUAAUAAUAAAUGAAGAAACAGUGAUGGACUGAUGGCCAAUAUUGCUCUUGUGAUCUGGUGUCAACAGCUGAAGUUCCCUUGUUCACAGAAACAAUGAAUCAGUACUAUAGAAACCAGUAGAUUGCAGCUUCAAUUAUCCAAUGAUAAAGGCUGUCAACAUUGAUUAUUGACAAUGGCAUUGAGCCCCCAUCGGACCGCCUUAACUAUCAUGUUCUUCAUUUGUUCCAACUAUGCUUACUGUGGUACCCCAGGAAGACAACAAUUUCAAGAGUAAAAUUGAUAAGUCUUGGCUUGAAGGAUGAUUUUCCUCAACCCUCCAAUGGGUGAUAGGACCAUCAAGAAAACGCCUAAUACAAUGCAGAUCUGUGAAAAAAAAAAAGGGGGAAAGCCAAAUCAGACCAAGUAAAAUGGGAUUCGAAGCACAUUGAAACAAGGAGAUUAAUAAAAUUUAAAUCAAGUUUUAUGUACCCAGUUAGUCCACCAAGAUAAGCUGAACUUUCUUGGUUUGUAGAUGGCAAGCCACAUGAUGCAAGGGAGCUAAAGAACAAAAAGGAAGAGAAAAUGAGUAAUAGUGAACAAGUACUUUUGUAGUAAGAAGAAAGAUGGCAUGAACGGAGAAUGUGGCUUACAAAAUAUGUUGUUGGUGCAAAAGCAAAUCCUCCGAAAAAUCCAAGAAGACCACCGAAGAAAGGGAAGGUAAUGCCAACGAACAUUGUGAACGCUGCAAUAAAGAUAUGACAUAAUUAAACUCCUUUAAUUCCCUUCCUUUAGUUGAUAUCAAGACCUCGAUCAAUUGCAUGCAAGUAAGAUGAAAUGAAUGAACAGUUUUACUUACCAACAUAAAAAUUGCGAACAAUGAAUCGAAGUAUUCUAGUGGGCCUAAAAUGUAAUUUCUUUACUAGUGCAGUUUCCAUCAUAUCAAACACUGGCAUUGCAUAGAUCUGCAUAGACAAAAUUUAAAACCAAAAUCUAAUUGAUUAUCUGCUAAAAUGAUAAAAUCUGAACAAGGAUAUUAAAAAGAUAUUGAUUGAUAAAAACCUGGUAGCUUCCAAUGACAUGAACAACAACAAACAUGUUAGCCAUUGCAAUAAGCCAUUUUGGUUUCUCCAAUGAAAUGAGGAUGUUGUCCUGGACAGCAUUCCCAAACAUCCAGUACCCAAUUAAAGCAACAGGGAAAUAGCACAAGGCCACAACUAUAUAGGCAAUUAUAACACCUCUCCACAUGGGUCCCUUUGAUGGCUUCUCAGGUGUAGAUGGGAUUGUAGCUUGGAUCUCCAAGACCACAUUGUGCCCAGCAUAGGCAAAAGCGACAUCCCCCAAGGCAUUGAAGAAGUCGAAAACUGUUCCUGCUGCAGUCUUAGCUUUGUAGCCAUAUUGUACAUCUGGCUGAACACCCUUAGCUAAUGAAGCUCCCCAAGCAAUAGUUGAGUAACUGUAUGUCAAGCCAAUCACCAAAUCUUGCAUUAGCAUAUCAAAUAUUAACAUUGACUCUUUAAUUUUUUUCAGGUUCUGUUUAAUUUAUAUGAAAUAGCAUAUGAAAGGAUUUAAUACCUCAAGGACAUGACUGCAGCUGCCAAGGAGACACCAGCAAUGGAGUUGAAGUUGGGAAGGUGAGACAGCACAAAGUGAACAGAGGCAAAAAUCAUAAUGAAAUAUGUUUGUUUUAUCUCUUUGCAGUUUUUGCUGCAGACAGUGUCAUGGAACUUCUUCAAUGAUUGUCCUCCGGUAACCAUGUAAACUAUGCAGACACCAACUUCAACAAUAAGUUGCUGUGGCACCACAAUGUAGAGACCAAGCUUUUCACCAAAGGCAUAUUGACCCAGUUCAUGGUAUCUAUCAAAACGUUUUCCUGGAACCAUCUCAUGCAUCUCAACCAUUUGCCAUAGGGUAUACAGGGUAAUAAUCCAUGAUAGGAUUAGGAUAACUACACCAGGACCCCUGAGAUGGUUAAAAUAUCAGAGUUCCAAACUAACUUCAUCAAAUAAUUACGUAAUUAAAAAUUUUACUAUUUGUUUAAAACUUCCUUGUUUUAUUAGGUAGUUUUUGCACUGAACUCUUCAGAACUUACCAUCCAAGCUCUGACAUGGCAUAAGGGAGACUGAGGACACCAGCUCCAACCAUAGCAGUGACAUUGUGGAAAGCUGAAUACCACCAUUUUGCAUUCCUUGAUGAGGUAAUUGGCAACCAAUCAUCAAUUGCUUUCUGCCUUGCUAAUUUCUCCUCAAACUGUAAUUGACAGUUGAACAAUUCUCUCAAUUAGUUUUAACUUUUGAGUAUUGACAGCAAUAAAUUCAUAAUUCAUAAUAACUUAUAUGUAUAGAAAAAAACUGAAAAAGUAAAAGAAAACCAGUUUUCAUCAACCAAUAUCAAUGGUUCAAUGUUGGCCACCUACUUGGUUCCCACUUCACACGUUUAUCUCUAUCAAUUCUAACAAUUUCAUUUAUUAAUAUUUGUCUUGCUUAAACGAGAUAAUAAGAGAGCUCCUACUGCAUAGGUUUCGUGUUUGUUUAAAUACAGAUAACUUCAUCUUCAAAUACAGACAAACAAAAUCCUACAGAUUAGACAUUACACACUAAUAAAAGUAAAAUACUUUUGGGUUUCGGCUUUGUCUGAAAGUAUUAGAAACAACUAACCAUGUGCUUACAUGUGAAUCCAUCCUAUAAAUCAGAUUAACUAUAAACAGAAAAUUAAGCAAAACUCUACAGAAACAUUUUUUUUUCUCAGAUAUUUGGUUCAAUAAUUACAAGCUUUAAAUGUAUGAUUACGGUAAAACAAAUGAAUACGUUAAGUAUUGGCUGGAGACUUCAUGGCCAGCUGCCACCAGUGAAAAAGGGUACUAUAAUUUCAGUCAACAUUUAAUGCAAUUCCUUCUUACAAGGGGUUAUUACAUAAUCAGAGUUGAAAAUAAGGUGCCGUAAUAAAGAAGAAGGUUGAAAUUAAGAUAUUAAUAAAUUUCCAGUACUGACUUGUGAUGAACCACAGAAAGAAAAAAAAAAAAAAGGAACCCGUUGAACAAGAAUCAUCUUUUCAAGCUCAGGAUUAAGCCAAACGUUAGAUAGCAAAGAAAAGUUGAAGAGAGGCAAAAAUGACCGGAGAAUCAAAGUUAUCACAGGCAGAGCCGCAGAGACUUCGAGCUUGAAACUGUUUCAAUUCCCAAGUUCUUAUGAUGAGCAAAUAAUUCAAGAACUAUCCUCUCUCUCUCUCUCUCUAUAUAUAUAUAUAUAUAUAUUCAUGGCAUAAUCUGACGGUAACCAAAACCAUAACCUGACAGAAAACUAAAGAGCUAAAAAGGGCAAAAAACACAUCAUAUAGAUACAAAAGAAUAAAGUUAAAGAGACAAAACUCUAAUAAGUUUGUAAAAGUUUUCAUCAACUUUUUUUUUUGGUUAAAAAAAAAGCAAGACAAAACAGUACUGCAAUUGCAUGCACAAAGGAGAGGUUACAGAAACUUACACUGUUGCCCCUGGCAUAAUCGUUGUCAGAAGGAGUUUGCGUUCCCAUGUCUUAAACACAGCAAAAACAAAGAAUGAAAAAUUAAAAAGCAAGGAUGAAGGUGAAAACCAAUGGAAGUUGAACCCUGGAAAAAUUUCAUCGGGUUUGUUUAGCAUUUAUAAAGGAAGAGGGGACUCACAGAGUAUCAUGAAACGUGGCGUUUUUCAUGUUUUUGUUUGACUUUACAAAUUCUUCAUACAGACCAAAAAAAAUCUAAAUAUAUUAAAAUUGGAUAUAAAGAUUUUUAUUGUGGUAAAUCUAUAAUAAUAUAAAAUUUUAUUAAAAGAGUAAAAAAAAAAUGAAAUUGAUUUUACUUAAGAAAAAUAUUAUUAUUUGUUUUAAUCACUUUUGUCUCAAUAUUUUUCCUUUUUGAUGUGUCAAUAAUCUAUUGACUUAAAUAUAAUAUCAUACUUACUCAUGAAAUGAUAGAUCCACUUUUAAAUUUAUGAAAUAAUUAUAUAUUAUAUCAAAGAAUAUAUAUUUAUUUAUUUAGAAGAAUCAAUUUUCAAUGUAAAAUUUUUUAGUUUUACGUUUUUUUUAAUAAUUAAUUUUAAUAAAUUUAAAGAAUGAAAUUAUAUCAUAUUAAAAUUAAUAAUUAAAAAUAUAAAAAUUUUUUAAUACAACUUGAUCCUUCUCUAUUUAAAUUUGUUUUAUUUGUUAUACAGUAGUUCAAAGUGUCACACACUGCUGAAUAUACUUUUUUGUCAGAUAAAUCCGUACAAAUGCUCUAAAAACUAUGGUGAUAGCAACCAUUUCAUUAAAAAAAAAAAAAUCAGCAUUGGAAAUUUGAAUGUAGCAACAUUAUUUUGAUUAAGCUUAUACAACUCAAUGAAUCAAUAAUUAACAAGAAAACCACCCAGAUCUCAAUCAUGAUUAUAAUUUCAUAUUUAUUCAAAUUAUUCUGCUAGUUUGGACCAAUCACAGUUGAGAAAUUUUGCCAAAGCAUUAGCUAGUCAAUGCAAACAAGAAAAAUAGAGUAUAAUUCCUUCACAUGUAAGGAAAUUGCUAUAACUAAUACCCUGUCUUAGCCAGAUUAUAUAUUCACAGUAUUUUGCAAUUAAAUUUCUCAGAAACCAAACAUAUUCAAAAUAUCAAGGAAAAGAAAAAAUUUUCAUUUCAUCCACCAAUAUGAGCUAUGAUAGGGCUUAUUAAAAAAAGUUUGCAAAAUUUGAUUUUGCUUUUUAAUUUAAGCGUGUCUUCAAAUUUAAUUUGUAUGAAUUUAAAUUUUUCGAACGAUUUUAAAAAUGCAUUCAUAAUUUUUAUGCUAAAAUAAUUUUUAAAAUAAUUUUUUGAAUCUCUAGCCGUCCAAAAUUGAUUUUAGAAAAAGCAGUAAGACCACAAAGAAAGCUAGCCACCUAGUUGAUGAGAAGGUCGACUUUGUUGGGUUUUUUUUUUUUUCUUUCUCUCUCUCUCUCUCUCUUUUAAGUUAAAGCACAUUGAGAUUCUUGUUUCUUUGCUCGAAUCUCAUUUUUUAUUCUUUCAAUCCAACCAAUUAUAUAUAAAAUUUAGUAGUAUUAUGGUUUUGAUGUGGGCGGUCAAUUAAGGCACAAAAAGAUUGCAUUGAAUCUUCCUUGUUCACACACUAAAAAGAUUGGAGUGUGGGACUCAAUUACCGAAAGAUUUGAUAAUUUGAAAUUUAAUAUCAUGAUAUUAUAUAAAUAUAAUAUGAAAAUAUUAUAUAAAAAUAAUACAAUUUAAAAUUUUAAUAAUAAUUAUAUAUAAAUUUAAUAAAUAUAAAAAAUAUAUUUUUUAUAAUUUUUAUGUAAAAUAUAAUAUAAAUACAUGAAUUUAAAUAUUUUAUACGAUAUAAAUAUAUGAAUUAUUAGAUCUAAUUAAUAUUGUAAUAUUUGAAAAUCCACCAAAACGGUUGCUAUGAAACUAUGAUACUCAUUUUCAAAUCAAGUAUUUUAAUCCUUAAUUAAUUUAUUAAUAUCAAAGGGAUCAAAACUAGAUAAAUUAAGAAUUAAACUUAGUCUAAUAAUCAUCACAUUUUUUCGAACGAAGUUAUAGUAAGAGAAAGGUUAAGCUUAAUUCAUAUGUAUAACAAUAAUAAAGAUUUUGAUUUUUAUGCCUAAUAUAAAGUGGGACAUGUGGCUUUUGUAAGUGAUACAAUCAUGUGUUUUGUUUUUAUUAUCAGGUGAUGAUAAAAUCAUGUGAUUUGAUUUUUUUUUCACUCACCCGCUCGCUCAUAUUAAAAUUUUAUUUAAAUGAGUGGUGAAAUUGAUUUUAAUAAAAUUAAUAAUAAUAAUAAUAAUUAUUAUUAUUAUAAUAAUAAUUAAAAAAAUUAUUGUAGUUGUAAUUGAAAAAUAAAUUUUAAUAAAAUAUUUAUAUUAAAAGAAUUUUAUUAAAAUUAAUAUUUAAAUUUAAUUGAUAAUAUGGUAAAUUUAUCUAUACUUCAUCGAAAAUAAGGUAAAAUUCAAACCUAAUUUAAAUAUAAAAGAAAGAAAAAACCAUGCGGAAAUAAGCCAAAUUUGUGGAAAUUUCAAACACAAUUACACAUGCGAGGACUAAGGCUAUAAAUUUCUAGUCAAACACCUAAUUCGAUGGGACACUUGCUUUUUGUUUAGGAUUCGAGCGCAAUUUGUCUAACAAAUGCGUGUGUGUGUUAGCCGUGGUUUGCCGGUGUUGACUUUUCUGUGUGUAUGUGUUUGUCGAGGGCUCGUCCUUGCCCCACAUGGAUACCAAUUUUCCUUGUUGCUUAACUCUUAUAUAAAGAAACCAAUAUUUUUUAUUAAAAAAAUUUCAGGUAAAAAAAAAUAUAUUCCGAGAUUUAAGUCCUUUUUUUAUUAUAAUAACAAUAAAUUAAAAUUUAUAUCUCAUAUUAGAUUCUAUUGUAUAAAAAAUUAAAAAAAAUUAAUCUUAUUAGAUUGUAAUUUUAAAAUUUUUUGUAUUAUUAAUUUUUAUCAAUAAUAACUUUUUUUUUAUUUAUUUCCUUAAUAAUUAUAUUAUUUUUUAUUAUUUAUAUUUACAUAUUUCGUGUUAUAUCUUUAAAAGUUUUUAUUUUUCUUAAAUUUAAAAAUUCAUUUCUUCUAAUUAAUAUACAAAUAAACAUAUGUUUCAUAUGUCAAAAUUAUCUCAAAUAAUUUUUUUUUUUCAAUUCGAAUUAUCUUUAGUUAUUUUUAAUUUUUUUAAUUUUUAAUUUUAUUUCUUCUAAUCGUAUCAUAAUCCAUUUAAAUAUACUCAUUUUAAUUACAUUCAUUUUUUUGUAUUAUUUUUUAACAAUCUAAUAUAAAAAAAAUAAUUACAAAAAAUUAAAAUCGAUCAAUUUAACCAUUUUAAUAAUAAUUUCUUAUCAAAAUCUUCUUCUUCGAAUAAAAAUACGCACUAAUCAAUAAGUCAAUUGUUCGAAAUAUAACAUUCUUGCUAUGGUAUAAUUAAAAGAUUUGAAUAUUAAAACUUUAACUCUUCUAUAAACAAUUGCAAAUCAAACUCAAAUUGUGUUUAGUAAAUUAAGAAUGUGACAAUUGUUUUCAUUUACUUAUUCUAGCUUUACAAGCCAAGUUGGGUAAUUGUAAAUAGAACUCUGAUACCCCAAGGAAAAAUCUUUGAAAUUUCUAAUGUGUACUAAAAUUCAACUCGUUGAUUCAAAGUAACCUUGGUCAGCUCUUCUUGCGUGCUUCAUAAAUGCAAAACUAGGUAACCGAAACCGCUUCAACAGCUGCAAUAACAUCGAAACUUAUCCAAGAAAAAGAUUACAAGAUUUUCCUCCUUUGAAUUAUAUAUCUGUCGUCAAGUGUCAGGUAGAGGUGUUUUUCAAACAAAGUUAUCUGAAAAGAUGGAAAAUUUUGUCCCUUUAAUUAUUGAAAGAAUUAAAAUGUCAAUGGUAAGGGCGAAGAAUAGACUCAUGGCUGUUGGAAGAUCGUGUUUGGAUUUACCCUGAUGAUGUUUACAGGAAGGAAUUAUUUGCUUAAUUAGUGACGUUUACUAUCAUUUAUUUAUUUUUCUAAUUGUUUCAAAUCUAAUUAUAUAAUAAGAUUCAAAUAGCCGAAUAUGAAUAAAUUUAAUUUUAUUAAUAAUUAUUUAUUUAUUUUUAAUAUUAUUCGAGAUUGAUUUAGAUUUGACAUUAUGUUUGAAUAUAAUUUAUUUAAGUUAAAUGAAUUUGACAAUUAAUAUAUUUAUGAAUAUAUAACGGUACAUGUUUGCAAUUAAUUUAAAAUUUGUUUGUUAAUAAUAAAAAAGGAUAUCCAAAUAUAUUUAAACAAAUAAUCUUAUUGUUCAUAACAAACUAUCUCUAAAAAUAAUUCAAAAUUAAAAAAAUAUAAGUAAAUGUAUGAAUGAAGAAAUGAAAUAAUAAUAAUAACAUAUAUUAUUAUUUUAUCAUUGAAUAAUAAAAGAGUUAUAAAGUAGAAAAAUAUAACCAUCAUUUUCAUUUUCAAGAGAAUCAUGUUGACAAGGUCGCAAGCAAUCGUAUUGAUCAAUUUUUAGAGAAUUAAUUUGCAUGGAAGCUUCAUAUAUAAACUAUACAUUUAUGUACUUAAUUAGUGCUAGAUUCUUCAUACAAUUGAAGCAUUGAUGUUUUACAUUUGUACUUACCACGUUUAAAAAAAAAAAGAAAUAUUUGUCACAAUUUUCCUCCCUAAUCAACCGACCUUCAAUUAAAUAUAUUAUAACCCGAUAUUUUUUAAAUUUAGAAAAUAUAUGUCAGCAUCUCAAUCAUUUAGAAAAACAAUUAAACAUGGCAAAAGUUUUUUUCAAAUGUAGGUAACCACCAUAAAAAAUUAACAAAAAUAAUAUUUAAAAACAAAUGAAAUAAAAAAUUAAAAUUAAUAUCCGUGUGAUCUAUUCAUAGAGUAUUGAAUUUUUAAUUUUAAUAAUCUUAAAUAUAAAAAAAUAAAGAGAUUUAAAAGUUGUAUAUCAAGUCUUGAACUAUAAGGAAAAGGAAAAAUUACAUCAUGAUUUAAUUUAGAGUUAAUUCACAAUUAUUCAUUCAUAUUAUCAAAUGUUAAAAAAAUCCUCAAGAUCUGCUUUUGCCAAGUUGGGCUUGGGUUGACUUGCUUGCAAUUAUUAUAUUGGGCCCAUAUCGACGUGGUCUCAACUCCUAAAGGCUAAAGCCUGCAGGCUGAAGCUUAAGGGCAAGGGCAUCUAUGUUGGGCUAACUGGGCUAGCCUAGGACUCGAUUAAUGGGUAAAUGCUGGUUAACUGGCUACUUGCUGGUUGAUAUGGCCCAAAGAUCAUGGUUAAUUUUGUGGCUUCGUCUUCCACCAUCGACAUUAGGCAGCAAAAGCUAAUUAUACUAUGAUAGUAUCCCUUCUGGCAAAAGCCCAAAACUAUACACUUGGUGCACAAAAUUGGAUUAAUUAUAGAUCAGUGUUAAUACUUUUUCUCAUCCAAGGUUAUGUGCUUUUAUCUGCCAUGUAAAACCGUCUUUUCUUUCUCUACAAGUUUAGAAUUCAUCAUGUCAACUUCUCCCAGACUUUGAGAGAAAUAAGAGGGCAGUGAUACACAUAAUGACAUAAAGCAAACUGCCUAGAAACAUUACCUGUUUUUUUGGCUACUUCACUUGCAGUGAAACAUGAAAAGUUUAUUUCGACAUGCAGUUUUUUUAAUCUGACAAGUACUGAAGUUAGAUAUAUAAAACAGGCAGCAAGUUACAGAUCUUGAUAAUUUUUUUUCCAUGUCAGUAAGUUGCCUUUUACAUAGAUUCAGGUGGUUGGCCUUCAGAUCAUUUCAGGACCCAACUCUUCUGCCAGAGACAAUCAAGCGAUUGAGAACAUGGCAGGAUUGACAGUAGUCUGGUUCUGCCUCUGCCUGCUAACUUGGAUUUUCACAGCCAGGUCCGAACCCCGAAAACAGAAAUACAGUCUCCUUAAUCCCUUUUUGGUUGAUCCUUGCUUCUCAAUUGUACUUGGAUUGGAGCAAGAUGGUCCAGCAUUAUCACUCUCAAUGAAAAUCCCGUUUUGUUUAUGCAAUGAGCUAGAAGAAGAUACGAAUGACUUUGAGAAUGAACUCGAAUCUUCGAGGAAUAGUUAACUGCGGCAUGGCUUGCGUAACACCAUGCAUUAUAUCUGAAGCAAGUUUCUUCUUUGCAAUUGGACUGGACUGAUUACUCCUCACAGAAAGCGCUCUCUUGUUGUUAGGAAGUGAUGAAGGCUUUGAAAAUCUCUAAGUGGAAUUGGAGUUUCUUCUGAGCAACCCUUAUUUAUUGAUUUCUUUAAUCGUUUAGGCUUUUUCUCCUUCAACCGAGGCCCAUGGAGAACGCUUUUCAAUUGCCGUGCUGCAUUAUUCAUCGAACCUGGUUUGCUAUCGACUGAUGACUACUAGCAUCCGAUGUUGUCCAAACCCUACUCACAAAAACAUAUAGAGAAAACUAUAAGAAUGUGAUUAUAAAUUUUUAUAAACUCCAGUCAAAGAACUUGGAUUUUGUUGAAAUGUUGAGGUUGAAUUGUCAGAGCAACUACUCAUUUAUGGAAAAGAGUUUACUGUAAUGAGGGGGAUUGAGGAGGCUAAACCAAGUUAUCUGCAUAAAAUCUUUUACAGUUCGUGCAAAGGAGAAAAAGCUUCUGGUUCAGUAGAGCAGUGUUACACCAAAUGGGAACCAUAGGCCUAUUCAAGGGAACAGAUGGACAAAAGUCGAUGACAUAAGGGAAGAAAAAGGGAAAAGCGUAUACCUCUCACAGUGAAUCUCCUAAAGAAUGAUAGACUCUGAACCCACCACUGUUAUGUUGGGUAUGGGGCCGAGAAGAGGUGGCUUCCACUUAAAAGUUACAAUGACAAUAUCAAAGAUUUCGGGCCCAAAUGACUGAUGCAAUGAACAUUUCAAUUAGUGAUGACAGGUCCAAUCGAAUUUUUGCUCGAAUUCAAUUCAAUUUUAAGUAUAUAAAAUUUAAAUUAUUCGAUUCGAUAAAUUUUAUUAUUAUUUUUAUAUUUGAAUUUGAUUUGAUCCGAUACUAUAUAAAAUUGUAUCUGAUUUGAAAUUAAUAAAAUAUUAUUUUUAAUAUAAAUAUAAAAUUAAAUAUAUAUAAAUAAAUAUAACAUUAAAUAAACACUUAAAAAAAGAAGUUAUAUAUAUAUAUAUAUAUAUCAGGUUGGGUUUGCUUAAAAUCCGACUCCAAUCAGACCUUAAAUUUUUUUUUUUAUGUUACCCGACCCGAUCUGAUGCCUGAUUAAAAAAAAAAAAAACGACCUUAAGAGAUUAGGUGGGUCGAAACCCGUCAGUUUCGAAUUUUUUUACUUUUUCGAAAUUAAUAAAAUAUUAUUUUUUAAAUAUAAAAUAUUAUUUUAAAUAUAAAUGUAAAAUUAAAUAUAUCUAAUAUAUAUAAAUAAAUAUAAAAUUAAAUAAAUAAUUAAAAAAAUAAGUUAUAUAUAUCAGGUCGGGUAGGGUUAGGUUUGCUUAAAACCCGAUCCCAAAUUUUUCUUUAUGCCACUCGACCCGAUGUCCGAUUAAAAAAAAAAAUCGACCUUAAGAUAUCGGAUCGAAAUCCGUCGGUUUCAGAUUUUUUUGCUUUCUCUAAUUUCAAUUACGAGUGAAAAGUAUCCGUACAUGAUAAAUGUCAUUUUAGUAGAGGAGAGAGAGAGGAAUGCAACAACCAAUUGAUUCCAGUGGUUGCCUCUAUUCUUGAGAUGUAGGGAAUGUACAACAUAGCGAGAAGAUUUGAAUUGAUUAAUUUAUGGUUUGAAAUUGAAAUUAUAUCUGAUCGUGGUAUUUGAUUUUAUACCCUGAUAAUGUACAUUAUCUCCAUUGUCUUGAUAGAAAAAUAAAAGGCCAUAUGUAAUACUUUCCCAUCUUUUAUUUUAAGUCAAUGUAAUGUUGAAUAGAAGAAUUACCAUGGUAGCUUUAUGCAAUAAGCAGCCAUACAACAAUUCUUCAUCAUUGGAUAUGGUAGAUUAUUUCUCGUUAAAAGCAGUUCUAAAGAGAAGAGAAAAUGAAAAACUAGAAGGGACAGCCAACAAAGCAGCAUUUGGAGACACAGAGAUAUGCUUAAUUAUUUUUGCUUUGCCUUCAUUUCUAUUCCAUCAAUACACACGCAAAUGAAUCAACGGAGGGAAUCCCAGAAGAAAGGAUGCAUCGUUCUUGACAAAGAAAUAAUGCCUCAUAUAAAUUACUUUCAAUAAUCGUAGUAUCAGUUUUUGGCCUUGACCGAAUUGUUUUCUUUUAUCCUUGCUCGGUUGUCCAACUUGACAAAGCGUUUUAAGAUCUUCAUAUGGAAGUGUUUCAAUGUUUUUCCUCCUUAGCUCACUCAAUGCUGGACGUUUGUCAAGCAGAUGCCACAGCCAAUCAGGGUACUCAGAAUCGGGCAUGAUUUUCGAGUCUGCUCCAUCCUUAAGUAUAUUUGCACCAACCACUGUUGUCGACUUCACUUCUUUGCUGAGUAUUGAUGCUUUUGGCGCAUCACUGGCUGCCCCUUUAGAGCCUUUCUUAGUUUUGCCAGCCCCUGCAGCAAAUGUUCGAUGUCCCACAGCAACUGCCUCCUUGGCAACAAUGACACUUCUCAAUGAUCUGAUCUGAUUUAAUGCCAUGGCCUUUAUCCCUGUAAAAUUUAUGUCAAUAAUUGUAGAAACAUGUAAAACAAAAAUAAAGAAACGCUUAUUUAUUGAUUUAUUUUUUGUACCGGUGAAGCAAAAUCAUUAACAGGCACCAAGAAGUCAAUAGAAGAAUCACAUUGAUCCAACUAUUCACUUUAUCCCUACCCAGGUUGGACGCAUUGCAGACACCUCAGAUAGACAUGGGUAUGACUGUUGGACCCUCCAAAAUAAGGAAAAAAAUUUGUAAAUGCUGUAGCCAUGUUGGAUGUGGAAUGUUUCUGAUACAUGUACCAUGUUUGGGAACAUGGAUAGGAUCCAAAGAGGACAUUGCAGCUAUCACUUCAACAUUUUGAGGAAAGAAAGUUCUUAAAAAAAGUUUGUAUCCUAAAAUCAAAGGGCCAAUGCUUAUUCAUGAAAUCAAAGCUACUAGGUGAUGAAAUAGAGAAAAAAAAAUGAAAAAGAAGAAAGUUCUUGGGAUUGGGUUUCCCUUAGUAGAUAAAGACUAAGAGUGCCUGGAUACAGUUUCAUAUCACAGAUGCUCAAGAAGAUAAAAAGGAUAUGCAGAAAAAAUAACCAUGAAAUUACAACUUCAUCAGUCAUAAUUAUUCAAGAAAUAUCGCCAUCCUACUUUACUUUCCAAAGAGAAGAGAAAACAUGUAAAUCUCCCAUCCAUUUAUUAUUCAUUGAAUCCUAUCAAGCUCAUUUAUAGCAUGUGCAAUGCCCAAAAUAAUACUAUAACAUCUACCUCAAGAAGUACCACAUUCGCAUCCAAUAUCAUAACUCCAAGCAACAAGCCUAUAUUGAGGAGAAAAAAAAGUACAAGGGGAGUCAAAAGUUCACUCAAGCAAAUUCAUUCUAUAGGCAUCUGCUUAUGCAAAUUUGAAUAGAACAGCAUUUCUCAUGUAUCUUAAUCAUUUAAGUCCAAACUCCAAAUACCAUGGAAACAAGAUUCAAGCUUCUUAAAACAAGUUGCAAGUGUUAAAUCAAACAUAUACUGUUGAACAUUCCAAACUUAAUUAUAAAAACUUUACAGAACUAAAUCAAAGAAGCAUCCAUUCAACAGAAUAUCCAACCAAUCGCAAUAAAAGAAAAAGGAAAAAAAUAGGCAGUGCAUUUUCUCUCCGGGUUUGGAGUAAAAAUAAGGUAAGCCAAUUGGGCACGGCAAGAAUAGGAAUGAACUUUGUCUGAUUGAUUUCUAGGAAAUCAAUGGAAAAAAAAGGAAAAGAAAAAUUCCAUUUCUUUUUAUCUCUGCUUCAGCUAUUUAUCAGUAACUAAACAGUGCAAUAGAAAAGAAGAGCAAGUUAAAAGAAGUUACCUUUCUUGAGAAUUCGUAAAGUUAAAUUCUUGCGCCUCCCUUUCGGAUUGAAAUUUAGGAAUUUAGGGUUUCUGAGACAAAAUUGAAAAAAGAGCUGCACCUCCAGAAGGAGAAGAUUUUUAUUGGAGUGGACUGCAAAACUUUGGGCUUGUUUGGGCUCAUCGUUUUCCAGCUUAAUAUGAAGAUUCCCCCAGUCUUAAUAGGCCAUGAUCCAUUAAUGGAAUGGACCUCUAUUAAAUUUGGGCUCGUUUGGGCUCAACAUGGCUGAGUCGUUGAUCAUUCCUAUGAGGCCAAUAAUCAAGGAGAAAUAGUGCCAGGUUAAAAUAAAAAUUCGAAAAAAUAAAAAGUUGUUAAAUCGAAUUGCAUUAAACUUGUAAAAUUCAGUUCAAUUUGAUUGAAGUCGAACAAAGACUUGAUUUAAAUUUUGAUCAAAUUUAAAAUUUUUUAAUGUUAUAUAAAAAAAUCAAAUCGAAUAUGAUUCUUCGAAUUGUUAAUCCAUUAAAAUUUUUGGAUCAGAAAGGCCGAAAAUCUCAUAAAAAAGCCCAACCCAACGCCUUUCCAAUUUCCCAAGUUUCAUGACCUACCUAAACCCUAAUAAAAACCCUCGGUCGAUGACUUUGCUCAUAAAAACCAGAAACCCCCAAAUCAAAAUCAAACGAAAUUGCAAGAAAUGGGAAGCAACCAAGCCGCAGUCUCUUUCUUAACCAACCUCGCACGUGCCGCCUUGGGUCUCGGCGCCGCCACCACUGUCCUCAACGCCUCCAUGUACACGGUAGACGGUGGCCAAAGAGCUGUGAUCUUUGACCGUCUAAGGGGAGUAUUGGAUGAAACGGCGGACGAAGGCACCCACUUUUUGAUCCCAUGGCUACAGAAGCCUUUAUCUACGAUAUCCGUAUGAAGCCCCACACUUUCUCAUCUGUUUCUGGAACAAAGGAUCUGCAAAUGGUUAAUCUUACUCUUCGAGUUCUUUCUAGACCUAAGGUAAUCAAGACAAAAAGCUUUUUAUUUCUUUAGGUUAACGGGUUUGUUUGAUUUUUGAGAUUUUUUUUCUUUGAUAAAGAACUAAAGCAUUUUGAUAUGGGCAUGCUGUUUUUUUUUAAUGAUUUUAUGAAAUGGGUUAAUGAAGGUUCUGGGUUUUGUUUUUUUGUUUGUUAAGAAAUGAUAAGUCUUAUCCAUGAAAUGAGCUUGUCAAUGUGGUCAAGAGUUGUGGACCAACUUACUUCUGCUUUCAUUCUAGUUUUGCUUGUGUAUUUAUAUUUGGUGAAUCCACGGAUUUAGUUUAUUCUUUAAAGACUAAUGUCUUAUUGGUGGUAUUUUUGCAAAAGGUGGAUAAGCUUCCUGAAAUCUAUCAACGCCUUGGUCUUGAGUAUGAUGAAAAAGUGCUUCCCUCAAUUGGCAAUGAGGUGUUGAAAGCUGUGGUUGCACAGUUCAAUGCUGAUCAGCUUCUCACUGAGCGUCCCCAAGUGUCAGCAUUGGUCCGAAAUUCACUGACCCAACGAGCAAAGGACUUUAACAUUGAGCUAGCUGAUGUGGCUAUUACACAUUUGUCAUAUGGAGCUGAAUUCUCUCAGGCAGUGGAGCAGAAGCAGGUGGCUCAACAGGAGGCAGAGCGUUCCAAGUACAUUGUGAUGAAAGCUGACCAGGAGAGGAGGGCUGCUAUUAUCCGGGCGGAAGGUGAAAGUGAGGCUGCAAAGUUGAUUUCUGAAGCAACUGCAAGUACUGGUAUGGGGCUGAUUGAGCUAAGGAGGAUUGAGGCAUCUAGGGAAAUUGCUGCAACUCUUGCUAGGUUCCUAAUGUGGCAUACCUGCCUGGUGGACAGAACAUGCUUCUAGCUUUGAAUCCAUCUAGGCCAUGAUGGCUGCUUGAAUUAUGGUAAUUUUCAUUACCUAUAUAUUUUACAUGGCAUUUGCAGUUAUUGUUACUUCCUUACUUAAUAUGUUCAUUUGAUAAUCUUCACUGCUUAACAUCACCUGAGUUUUCUGACAGAAAAUGGAUACUGCUUUCCUUAUGUUAAACAAGGAGGUUGCUUGAGUUCCACUUUUGACCUGAAUAAAAAAUUUAUUCAAUGUUACCCUUUUGAAAAGCAAGUCCGGCAAUGAAAUUAAAAUUUUUUUCAAGUCAAUUUCUGCGUUUCUUUUGAAUAAAACGCCGUAAUUGGUAAAUUUUUUUUUUUUGUAAUUCCAUAUAUUCUAUAACUGGCUAUUACGGCAUUUUCCUUAAACAUAUGCAGUAAUUACCAAAUUAGUUUUGCAUUUGAUGAUUGGCUAUUACAGCGUUUACCAUGUAGAAACGCCGUAAUUGACCAAUUUUUCCAGUUUCUGUUUUUCUUUGGCUAAUUAUUGCAGUUUCUGUUGGGUACCACCAUGAUACAUGACAAUUUCAUAAUGAUUUAUUCAAGUACUAUCAAAAUCAUCAUUGCAGCAAAGAAAUAGUAUUAUAAUUGUCUUAUUUUUAUUUUCAUGUAAUGUUAAUUAUGUGAGAUGUGGUGCCUGCUAUGUUCUUUAAUUACUAUUAACUUGUAGUUUAUGAUGUGUUGCUGAUUUAGUUGAUUUCAGUAUUAACAUGAUAUUGAGAACAAAUCACACAUAGAGUAAACAACUAUUCCUUACCAAAAUAUUAAAAGGUAGUUGGUUACUCUUGGUCUGAUUUGUUCUGAAUUACUAUCAUGAUGCUGUGUCCAUCCACCAUCUAUUUCAUGAGGGUGUUGCUUAGAAGUAAAAAUGCCUGCAGUUCAUCUGCUCUCCUCGUCUAGAUAGAAUUCACAAUUGAGUUUUGCCUUUUGUUUGGUAUUUUCAUUCUUUUUCGAUUACAUGGUGAAUGCAAUUAUGAUACUUCAUAGAAGGCAGUAUAUGUGAUACCUUUUAAGGGCAGUGACUUUUGCAUUGUUACUUUUUCGGUUCAGGCCUUACGAAGAUCAACUAUGAACCUUUACUGCUGUUGUAAUGGUUCUGAUUUUUCCUUUGGCUGCUGCAGGAUCUUAUGACUUGGGUGAGGCUGGACAGGGUGAAUUUGCAGUCUUUUGCCUUAUUGAUGGUAACAUUCUGAUGUUUGAAACCAUCUUAUUUGUCCAAAAAAAAAAAAAAAACUUUUAAGGACCAGAUGUUUAGCAUUAAAAAAGUUUUUGAUGUUAAGUUGGAGAACAUGUGGCUUUUAGAUUUAGAUCAGAAGUAUAUUCAGACAUUUUAGAAUUUCAAAGAUGGUUUUGCUUGUUCAAUUCUUGGUUGUUUCCAAGUAUCCUUGAAGCUUUUCCUUAAUCCUAUCUUGUUUGGUUCCCAUUGCUAAUAAAAUUCUUCAAAGUUAUUUAAUAACAGAUGCUUGAUGUUCUAUUGGUCUAAAAGCUGCCUGAAGGAAUUUGAGAAAUGUAGAUGCUUAAUAGUUGCUAUGUAGUUUCUUUGAUGUUCUGAUACUGGAUGAAGUCAUGAAGAUGAUUAUAAUACAGAGAGAUGGGCUCAUUUAAUUUUUUUNNNNNNNNNNNNNNNNNNNNNNNNNNNNNNNNNNNNNNNNNNNNNNNNNNNNNNNNNNNNNNNNNNNNNNNNNNNNNNNNNNNNNNNNNNNNNNNNNNNNNNNNNNNNNNNNNNNNNNNNNNNNNNNNNNNNNNNNNNNNNNNNNNNNNNNNNNNNNNNNNNNNNNNNNNNNNNNNNNNNNNNNNNNNNNNNNNNNNNNNNNNNNNNNNNNNNNNNNNNNNNNNNNNNNNNNNNNNNNNNNNNNNNNNNNNNNNNNNNNNNNNNNNNNNNNNNNNNNNNNNNNNNNNNNNNNNNNNNNNNNNNNNNNNNNNNNNNNNNNNNNNNNNNNNNNNNNNNNNNNNNNNNNNNNNNNNNNNNNNNNNNNNNNNNNNNNNNNNNNNNNNNNNNNNNNNNNNNNNNNNNNNNNNNNNNNNNNNNNNNNNNNNNNNNNNNNNNNNNNNNNNNNNNNNNNNNNNNNNNNNNNNNNNNNNNNNNNNNNNNNNNNNNNNNNNNNNNNNNNNNNNNNNNNNNNNNNNNNNNNNNNNNNNNNNNNNNNNNNNNNNNNNNNNNNNNNNNNNNNNNNNNNNNNNNNNNNNNNNNNNNNNNNNNNNNNNNNNNNNNNNNNNNNNNNNNNNNNNNNNNNNNNNNNNNNNNNNNNNNNNNNNNNNNNNNNNNNNNNNNNNNNNNNNNNNNNNNNNNNNNNNNNNNNNNNNNNNNNNNNNNNNNNNNNNNNNNNNNNNNNNNNNNNNNNNNNNNNNNNNNNNNNNNNNNNNNNNNNNNNNNNNNNNNNNNNNNNNNNNNNNNNNNNNNNNNNNNNNNNNNNNNNNNNNNNNNNNNNNNNNNNNNNNNNNNNNNNNNNNNNNNNNNNNNNNNNNNNNNNNNNNNNNNNNNNNNNNNNNNNNNNNNNNNNNNNNNNNNNNNNNNNNNNNNNNNNNNNNNNNNNNNNNNNNNNNNNNNNNNNNNNNNNNNNNNNNNNNNNNNNNNNNNNNNNNNNNNNNNNNNNNNNNNNNNNNNNNNNNNNCAUUUUCAUUUUAAUUUGAAGUUAAAACGGAACGAUCAACGGGCAGAUUCAAGAGAAAUUCUGCAUGAAAACUGGAAAAAAUGGUGGUUGAGAUUCGGCCAUGGAUGCAUUUGCAUUAGCAUGCAGAUGUUAUAAAAUGAUCAUUGCUAGCUGAAUUUAGUACCUAAAAUUAACAAGUAUUGCUCCCUGGAGCUACAGUUAAAUAAUAAUCACAUCAGGAAUUGAAGAGAAAUUAUCAUAACUUAGAUGAAGGCACUGCAGAGGGGAUGGCAAUCUUCCUUAGCUCCUUUCUCAAUAUUUUGCCCGCUGGAUUCUUUGGUAUGGAAUCAAUGAAUGCUACACGCCUUAUUUUCUUGUAUGGUGCAACCUGAAAAACACCAUAGAUGAAAUUACCAAGAUCGUAGAUUGAAAUUACCAAAUGCACGCAGCCUAAAAAGAUUAUAGUAACCAUGCCACAUUGUUCCACGAAAGCACCUGUUUUGCAACAAAAUCCAUAAUUUCUGCUUCACUGAGGCUGCUUUGUGGCUGCCUUGAUACAAAUGCCAUUGGAAUCUCGCCAGCUUCUUCAUCUGGGUAUCUACCAAAGCCAAAUCACCAGCUGCUUUAGUUUUAUAUUAAAAAAUUUUCAAGGGAAAAAGGUGAUGACUCUGGAAGCUAUGGAAAUUACGGUAUCACUGCAGCAUCAGAUAUCUGAGGGUGGGACUGAAGCAAUUGUUCCAGUUCUACAGGAGCGACCUGCACAAGAAAAUCCAUCAAUACAUCGAUCAUCAGCUGCUGCUGAUCUUGAGAUAUUACCUGAUAACCCUUGUAUUUAAUCAGUUCCUUAAGCCUGUCCACCACAAACAUAAAGCCCUCUUCAUCAAUAUAACAGAGAUCUCCGGUUCUUAACCACCCAUCUGAUACCAAAGUUGCUGAAGUUGCUUCAGGGUCAGCAGCAUAUCCUGCAAGUUCAAUUUGUCUUGAAAAUCAGCAAAAAUUAUCUAAAGCAACAAUAUUAAUAGAAUGAUUGAUAUUUCAUUUUUUUGACCUUUCAUUAUACAGGGUCCUUUGAGCCAAAGCUCCCCUUGUUUGCAUGGAGGCAAGGCUUCACAGUUUUAAGGUUCUACAAUUUUUGCUUCACAAUAAGCUGCCAGUUCCCCCACUGAGCCCCACCGCUGACUGCCUCUCGACCAACAAAUCCAAAACUCCCCUCCCGAUUCAGUCAAUCAUAACCCUUAUAUAGGAAAUGCAGAAUAAGUGAAGUCAAGCCUUCGCAAUAUCGCAACUGAGUUGCAUCAUCGUCCAAUUAACUACAAAGAUAGAAUGUGGAACUAAGGCUACAUGGCAGUAAGAGUAUAAUUGAGCCGAGUCAAUGCAAUGAAAAGCUCGAGUUCAAGCUUGAGUUUGAAGCUCGUCACUUGAAAUUCAACUUGGAUUUAAUUGAGUUUUAAAUUUCAAUUAUGAGUUCGAUCUGAGAAAACAAUUGAGUUAUUUGUUCAAUUACUUUUGUUUAAAUUUAAAAAUAAGUUCAAUUCUCAGACUCGAUUUCAAACUUGAUUAUAUAUCUAAACUCGAGUUUAUAUUCGAAUUAAUAUAAUAGUAAAAUAAUAAAAACAUAUUAAAAUUUAAAAAUAAAUUAAGCUCCUGAACUCAAAGAUUUAAAUAGAGGUAAGAUAACGGUAAUAACGGCCGUUAUUUCACGGUCAUAGCCACCAUUUGCUACCGUUAUUAAAGAAAAAACAUGAAAAAAUUUGAAUCUCAUUUGUGAUUGCGAAUUGUGGCGCAACGUUGAAUAGUGGCAAUAACAAUCCGCUAUUGCCCGCUCUUUCGUUUUUCAUUCAAAAAUUCAAAAAAAAAAAAUUUCAUUUGAUUCUAUUUAAAAAAACUUAAAAUAAAAAAAACAAGAAAAAAAUAAACAUCAAUUUACAAAUUCAAAAAAAAAAAAACCUACAAAACUAAACUUCAAAAAUAUCAAUUCUCUUAAAUUCAACUUCAAUCAAAAUUAAGUAUAUGUAAUUUAAGGAAAGUAAUUAAUUCAACACUUAAAUUACGUUUUUUUCUUAAUUUCCAAAAUUACCGUGAUUUUAUGUGUUUGGGAUUGGAUUGAGCUAUGAUACAUCGAUAAAAGGGAGCAGGAGUUACUUAGACUUAAAAUGAAAGACAACAGAUGAAAGUGAGACUUGAGAUUGAUGGAGACGAGCAGAUAGCACACACUAGAAAAAAAAAAAGUGAGAGAUGAAGAUGAAGAUGAAGUUUUGGAGAACAAAUUAUUGAAUGCGAGGUGAGGAAUGAGAAGUUUUGUGAGUUAGUGCAAUUUAAUCAAGAGAUAGAGAAAGUAAACUUGAUGUUAUUAUUGUUGAAAAUUGCUCACAACAUGGAGGCUAUCAAGUUUGAUUUAUUGUAAGUCCAUAAAAAACAAUUAUCUUGACCCAUAAAUAGUAAUGCUCUUAAUUUAUGGAUAUCUAAUCACUUACUAUUUGAUUUAUGCAUAAUAUAGUUUGAUAAUAAUUUGAUGAGUAUGGUAAUUAAAUAAUUAAAUAUAUCAUUAGUUAUAAUUAUUUAUUUUUCACAUGUUUAUUUAUCUUUUAUUAUUUUUUAAUUAUCAUAUAAAUAAUUUUUUAAAUAUAAAUAUUUUAUUAUAAAUAUUUUUUUUACAUAAAUAAACCAUAUGAUAUAAUAUAAAUUACUUUAAAAAUCAUAAAAUAUAUGAUUAAUAAUUAAAAUUAUUAUAUUUUAUAGUAAAUUAAGUAAAAUUUAAAAAAAUUCAUGACUGUGAUAACCAUAAUAACCAUAAAAAUCUUUGUUAUAUUUGCAACUAUAACAAAUAAAAUAUAAUCGAAAAUAUGACCGCUAUUGCAAUUUAAAUCUCUACCCGAACAAUUCAAAAUAGAUGUUUAAAGUCAACUCGCUUGACUCGACUUUGACUAGACUCAGAAUAUAAUCAAACCAAAAUUAAUUUUUAUUUAAAUCAAAUCAAAGUAAUUUACGAGUAACGAUGUAUCCCUACAUAGCAUGCAAAAGUUAAAAAUGUAAAUACAAUGGCAACAGAUUUGGCGUAUGCUCCCACAUCCACUGACUCUACUAAACAAGCAUAUUAACAAAGAUUUAUACUAACGAUGAUUUUUUUUCUCCCGUACCUGAGUAAGAAGGACGUUUGGAAACUUCUCUGUAAACGCGGCGAUCACAUCUUCACCAAGCGGAGCACCACCACAACCGACCCAUUCCAACGAACUCAUAUCAAAACCCUCCGUCACCCCGCCCUUAAGCAUUGCCACCACCACUGGCGGAGCCGUCGCCAACCGCUGCACCCUAAAAUACUCCACCGCCUUCACCGUUUUCUCAAUAUCGAAACGACCCAUCACUACCAACGUUUCACUUAAUGCAACAGAUUUUAUAAAAUAAAAAAACCCAAACACAUGAAAAAGCGGCAUGGUAUGAAGCACAACCGACGCUGCUUUAUUUACUUCUUUAACAGAGUAAUAGCCGGUAAUUACUGAGAUUAAAUUCCGGUGAGUCAACAUUACUGCUUUGACUUUUCCUGUUGUUCCUGAAGAGUACAUGAUGGCAGCUAAGUUGGAUUGAUUCACUUCAACUCGGUCGAUAUCCUGAUCAUUAAACCUUGGUUUCUUUUGCAUGGCUGAGUUAAACUCGGGGGAGUCAAUGAGAAUUAUCCCAUAACGAAGCUUGGGGAGCUUGUGGAUAGUUGAGCUCAAUGCAAAAGCGAUCACUGGAUUUGAUAACUCGAUUUGUCUGGAGAUUUCUGACACAGUAUUGAGUGGGUUGGCGGGUGAAACUAUGACCCCGAUGGAAAGCAGAGCUAAGUAAAGAAUGUGAACUUGAACUGAGUUUGUCGAGAGAACAAAAGCUGUGUCUCCUUUGGAUAGUUUGAUAACAGUUUUGAGAUAAAAAGCAAGUGAGUUUAUCAUGUGAAUUAACUCGGGGUAGGUGAUUUUUUGGCCGGUAGCUGAGUCGAUGAGAGCAACCGAGUCAGGCCAAGGAGAGGUGGCUUGGAGAGAGAGAGAAUGGGCAGUCACCGUCGAAGGAAGUUGUUCAGGAGGAAGUUUUAAUGGGCUGGCCUUAAGCUGUGGAAAGUUUUUUGUCUUUGAAAUUGAAGCCAUUUUGGGGGUUGCAUUGUUGGGUGUUUUUGAUCCAUUUUUUGAAAGCUCAGAUUUCUUGUCUGAAGAAUUCUGCUUCAAGUUUUAUGAGUUUGGUUUUCAGCUUGGAAAUCAUUCGAUUGACAGAUAUGACAACACAAUGAUCUUUCAAAUCUUCAUUAAGAUGCUACCCUGCCUACGAACAAUAAUUCAUCUAAAAUUCAACGCAUUUGGUACAGGCUAAAUGAAAAUGACAAUUUUGGAAUUUAGAUAUCGUCCAGCUGGAUUUUGUGUAAAAAAGAGGGCCCAAACUUUGAUCCAGUCAUGGAUCAAGGAUUCAAGGUUUCAGAUUUUGUAAUUUCUGAGCCUGUUUGGCCUAAAUCAUUAUUGGGUUUCAUACUUUCCCUCGAGCCUAAAUAUAUAUAUUUUUUGGAUAAAUUCUUUUGUUGUACGCUCAUUUCAACGCGAUACAUUAUAUAAAUAGAACAAAAAUAAUAUAAUUUAAAAUUUUAAUAAUAAUUAUAUAUAAUAUAUAAUAUAAAUUAUAUUAUAUAAUUUUUAUAUAAUAUAAUAUAAUAUAAAUAUAUAAAAUUUAUUUUUUAUUCAACAUAAUUACACAAAUUACCAAAUCUAUUCAGACUUCCAGCAGCACACUUUUUGUCAAUUGCCACUUCCCUUCUCAUCUAGGGUUGAUAUCGGAUCGAGUUUGAGACGGAUUUUAUUUAUUUCGAAUUUGAUUUAAUUUUAUCUGUUAUUAAAUUUUUAUUUAAUUUUAUUUAAAAUUUUUUUAUUUUUUUAUAUUCGAAUCCGAUAUUAUAUAAAUUAUACUCGAUUCGAUUCGAAAUUAAUAAAAUAUUAUUUUUUUAAAAUAUAAAAUAUUAUUUUAAAUAUAAAUAUUUAAAAAUAUCAUUAUAUAAAUAUAUAUAAAUAAAAAAUUAAAUAAUUAAUUAAAAAAUAAAUUUUUAUAUAAUAUAGAAUCCAAUCAAGUUAAGUUUACUUAAAACUUGAAUUCACCGAUAUCCGACUCAAAAUCUUAAUUUCAAAAAAAAAAAAAUCGACCUGGAUCAGGUCGAGUCGAACUCAUCAAAAUCGAAUCGAAUUGCCGUCCCUAUUCCCACCCACUCUCAAGUCAUGUCUCAUCCCACACCAAUACAAUUUUCCAAGAAAAAGUUCCAUGAAAUGAUUAGAAGUGGGCAGUAAAGAACAUUUCAAUCUAUUCGAUUUUAAAAAUCUAAAAAUUAAAUUAAAUAAUUUUAUUUUAAAUAAUGGUUCGAAUCCAAUAAAAUUAAAAUAAUUAAAACCCAAUUAAGUUGAUCGAUUUAAUAUAUUUAUUUAAUUUUAAUUAUUAAAAAAAAUACAUAAUUUAUAUUAUUACAUAAAAAUUAUAUUAUAUUUAUCAUAUAUUAUAUACAUUUACAUUAUAUAAAAUAAAUGGUAUAUUAAUAUGUUUUGGACAUCAUUGAGUAUAAUAAACAAAAAAAAAAAAAAGGUGCCAAUUGCCAACUUUAGAAACAUGGUCUACUUGAAAAAAAUCAAGAAUUGAAGAUCAAAUGCCAUAUAGUUUCUCCAUAGUUUGAGUUUGAUCACCGUCUUCUGGUCCACACACCAAAGAUUUUUGUUUCUCUCCAAUCUUAAUCCGAUCCAAUUAUUCCUCGGACCCCACUCGUCUCUUAUCCCUUCCCUUCCUUCCCCCAAGCCAAAACUAAUAUCUUAAAGAAGUCCUCGUCUUUUUGACUCUCAAGUUCCUUCAGGCGACUUCAUCAAUGGGUGUCGCUUGUUUGCAUAACAAAUUCAAUUUUGUUACUUUACCUCAUCUUUCACUUCCAUUCUCCAAGAACCCUAACCCCAGAAUCUUUCCUAGAAAAAAGAACAAUCUUUUUCUGGCUUCGGCUUCUGAUACCCAUGUGGCUGAUUCAGGAAAGAAACUUAGCAGCAAGAAAGAUGAUGAAUUCGGGGACUUGAAAUGUUGGAUGCACAAAAACGGCUUGCCUUCUUGUAAAGUUGUGCUGAAAGAGAGGCCUUCGCAUGAUGAGAAACAUAGGCCUAUACAUUAUAUCGCUGCCAGUGAGGAUCUUCAGGUAAAUAAAAUGGCUUAAAGUUUUGGUUUUGGUUUUGUCUGGUUUUUUAAUGGGAUUUCGUAAUAUUCGCGUUUUCUAUUCUGGGGUUGUGUUAAAGUUGCGCUUUUUUCUUCUUUUUUGAUUCUGUGUUCUUGGUUUUCUAGGCGGGUGAUGUGGCCUUUUCGGUGCCGAAUUCAUUGGUUGUAACGCUUGAGAGAGUGCUGGGAAACGAGACUGUUGGUAAGGUGCACUAUAUAAUGUGUGGAAGAUUUUAUAUAGCAAUGGAUGUUCUUUUCAAUAGUGGAAACUUGAUUCAUAUGGGAUUUUUGUCUGAAGAUGAUAUACAUUGGUAAUUUUUCUCUCAAUUUGUAAAGGUGAUUAUGAACUUGGAUGGUAGUUUAGACCGUUGCUACAACUGUUUCCUUGUACUUUUCCCUAGUCUGCCAUGUAUAUUUCUCACUUGCAAAACUAGAAAUUGUAGAGUUCCGUUUGUCCAGCUACACUGUUUAUAGCAUUGUGGUAUAUGAUGAGUGAUUAAAGGACAAGAUAAGCAAUGUAGAGUGGGAUUACAUUUCUUUGCAGUACUUAUGGAGCAUCUAUACCUGUAUGUUUGUAUCUAAUGAUAGGAUUUAAAUUGAGUGGAAAAAGGGGGAAAAAGAAGCUGCUGUCAGAUUUCAUUUUUUAACUUGAUUUGGUUGUGUAAUUAUGUUACUUGCCUGGUCUUUUAUACAGCGGAACUUUUGACAACAAACAAGUUGUCUGAAUUGGCAUGCUUAGCUUUGUACUUAAUGUAUGAGAAGAAGCAAGGAAAGGAAUCAUUCUGGUAUCCAUAUAUUAGAGAGCUUGAUCGACAACGAGGAAGGGGCCAGCUGGCUGUGGAAUCUCCACUUUUAUGGUCAAAAGAUGAAUUGGCUUACCUAACAGGUAGCCCAACUAAGGUAGCAAUAGCAACACAAGUGUCUGUUUAUCCCCUUUCCCUUUUUUAUUCCUGAUUUACUGUUUUGUAGUUCAUUGAGUUUCAUAACUGAAUUCUGUUGUUCAAAAGUUAGGCUGAAGUUCUUGAAAGGGCUGAAGGAAUAAAAAGAGAGUAUAAUGAGCUUGAUACUGUCUGGUUUAUGGCUGGGUCUCUCUUUCAGGUAUUGUCUUUCAUAUUUAUAUAUUUUUUAUUUUCCUUUCUGAAGCUUAGAGUGUGAUCAUAAAUGUUUCGUAUUUCUUUGCAAUGCAGCAAUAUCCCUAUGAUAUACCUACUGAGGUCUUUCCAUUUGAGAUUUUCAAACAAGCUUUUGUUGCUGUUCAGUCUUGUGUGGUGCAUUUACAGGUUUUCUCUUUACCUGUUGAUAACCUUUUCCAGUUUUCCCUAUCAAGCUUUGAGGACUCGAGUGACAUUCUAGAUGGCGAUAUUCUUUAUGUCUUUUGUUUUAUAAAAUUUAGAAAACUUGUUUGGCUAUAAACCUUCCAGAUAGCAUUGCAUAUACUAAAACUCUCUCAUCUUUUUCUCCUUUCCUGAAAUUUUUGAAACAUUAUGUUUGAAUGACAAACUGAAACUUGAUUUUACUCAGAAAGUACCUUUGGCUCGAAGAUUUGCAUUGGUUCCUCUUGGGCCCCCAUUGCUAGCCUACAGUAGCAAUUGCAAGGCAAUGUUAAGUGCCAUUGGUGGUUCUGUUGAACUAGUGGUUGAUCGCCCAUAUAAGGCUGGGGAACCCAUUGUUGUCUGGUAUAAAUAUAAUGCCUUAUUUAUUGUCUGUAAUGUUGAUUUAUCUUUCAGUCUUGCUUUAGAAUCGAAACCUUUGCCUUCUAAUUAUUGCUGCAUUUGUAUCUCUAAGCACAAAAUUUGAAAAUGGUAAAUUUCUUGUGUUUUUAGGUGUGGACCACAGCCUAAUUCGAAACUGCUUAUAAACUAUGGUUUUGUUGAUAAUGAUAGUUCUUAUGAUCGCCUGGUUGUUGAGGUAAAAUCUUGAUUUUCCAACUUGUAUAUGCAAUUUCAUGGUUUUCUUUGUAAAUCAAGUUUACGCGCCUUAGUGAAUGAAUGGACAUCUAUACUUCCUUGCUUAAAUAUCUUAUAUGUGUUGAAAAAAAGGUUUAUUAAAGUGAUGGGAUAUGGUAUGACUUAUAAGUUGGUGGUAUCAAUGAGAUUGAGAUUUUGUGUUUUUCUUAGUCAACCAUGUUGAUAGCUUUAUUUACUGUUUGUUCAGGCAGCUUUGAAUACUGAGGAUCCUCAAUAUCAGGAUAAGAGACUGGUUGUUCAAAGAAAUGGAAAGCUAUCAGUACAAGUUUUUCAUGUAUGAACUCAAACCUUGUAUUAAUUGGAUUAUAUUGUAAGAUAUUCCCUUCUGAUCCUUACUUUGUAUCUGCUGCAGGUUUAUGCAGGGAAGGAAAAAGAAGCUGUUUCGGAUAUGCUACCAUAUUUGCGAUUGGGAUAUGUUUCAGAACCCUCUGAAAUGCAAUCUGUUCUUUCUUCUCAAGGUCCAGUCUGCCCGGUGAGUUCAUUUAUUGCAAAUUGUUACUUGCUUAAUUUUAAUUGCAAUAUAAAAUUUAUGAGAGUUAUACUCUAAUUGAAAUCCCAACUAAUUCAGUAAGAUGACCAAACUAAUGUGAUUCAGGUAGGUCAUGUUUUUCAGAAAAAGUUUUCAACGGUGGCCCUUUCUUCUUUUGUAAAGAAUGAUUCUAGCUUCGUCUGUGAUAGGCAAUUAAAAUUCGAAAAUCAUUUUAGUUAAACAGAGUGGAACUCUUUCUUUUUUUCUAAAAUUCUGGUGGAAUAUACUUGCCCUAAUAGGUGAGCCCAUGUAUGGAACGAGCAGUGCUAGACCAGCUUGCUUAUUAUUUCAAUAGACGCCUGGCUAUCUACCCUACGACACUGAAUGAAGAUGAGUCAUUGGUAAUGUCGGUUCUCUUGACCAAGUUGACAACUAGAUCUGAACUUAUGGACUGUGAGUUUUAAUAAACAUAUUUUUGUUACAUUAGUUGUCAGAUCCAAACUUGAAUCCCAGGAGACGAGUUGCCACUCAGCUUGUUAGGUUGGAAAAGAAAAUUCUCCAUGCAUGUUUGCAGGCAACAAAUGAUCUGAUAGACCAAUUACCUGAUCACACUGUGUCUCCUUGCCCUGCACCUUAUGCCCCCUUGUUGAAAUGAAAGGUAUCUUCUCUCACCUUCUGUCCCUGCUCUUCUGUCUUCCGUUUGCACUGUUAACUCUAUAUUGUUACUCAUGUUUGUGUUAAUGUGGAUGAACUUUCUUCAGAAUUAACUGUCUCAGUUGUAACUUGGCACCAGCCUAGUGACUAAGAAUUGAUUCUACCAGCUUCCUCUGUCCCCAUAUGGCCAAUGACCAUUCAUGAUUCUACCAGCCUUUAGAAACCCUUAGUGACUAAGAAUUGAUUCUACUUAACCAGAAAUAAUUUUUAGAAAGCGGGGAUGCUUUGAGAAGUUUUAGACUCUUGGAAUGUACUAAAAAAAGUAUAGAACCAUCUUGGUGCUAGAGAAACAAGGAAAGUCACUUAAUAAUGGCCGUUGUCCAAAUUCUUUAUUACCAUUGCUCAUACUUUUUCGUCGACUUUCUGACAUCAUGUUCUAAAUGGUGCUUUUUUCCUUCUUUUUCUUGGGAUGUUUUGCAGGUAGAUUUAAGAAUUGGCAACUCUUUAGGAACAAUAUGGAAUAUGGGAAGUUUGUUGCUGGAUCUAAUAGGGUUUUAAGAGAGAGAGAAUCAUGGUUGCUCUUUUCCAAGUUAUUGGAUGCCAUGAUGUGCCUUUAGCGAUUGGUUCUUCAACAUACAUUAACACAUGUUCUUCUUCUUCUUCUUCUUCCUUCUCGCAUACCUUCUUUCUCUCUUAUUUUCUCCACGUGUCUAGCUGUAGUCUUGUAAAGAAGAGAAAGAAUAUCAGAAUUUUUACCUACCGAGUGCAUAGAUAAUUUUGGCUGCUAAUGAAUUUUGG